GCAGCAAAUCAGUCGAACUCGUGAUCUCGUCGGGAGCAGUCGUGAAACCAGAGAGCGUGUGCGUGUACCGGUGUCUGUGUGUCAUAUAAGGAACGGUCUACAGACACAAGGCCGUCGGUCGUUCGGGGAUUUGGCACAGUUUUUCAGCCUUCAAAGAAGCCGCGUGUGAUAAAUGAUUAGUUCCGUACGUGCCAGCAACAAAUAAGUGCCGACAGUGAAACAUUGUGCGGUGACGAUCUCCGUCCCAGUGAGAGUGAUCUUUCCUUCUCUUAACCGUGUGUGUGUGAGAGUGUGUUUGUGUGCGAGAGUCAGUGUUAAGCGAGUACAAGGAAAGAGCACGAACGAAAUCGAACGGGAAAGCUAAAAAAACCCCCCCUCCCGACAUCCGGUGCAACAAUGUCCGGUCCACCGAAUAUUAAUAACAACCAGCUACCACCAUCCACUGGCGGUGGUAGCGGUGGUGGAACGGGCCGAGGGUGGUUACGGACCCCACCACCAACGUACUUCCGUUCACCCUCACCCUGGGUACCGCCCGGAUCGGCACCGCCCGCUCGGCAAAGCUCGCCAGUAACAAAAGCUAUGCCACGUCCAGCUGACGCUCACUCCGGCAUCGGUGGCCGUGGUCCGAGCGAGUUUGUCUAUCAACAUCCAAGCUCGGGUGCCUUUGGAGUUGCGGCCUACCCGGCACACCAGUACGCUGGCGAUCGACCUACGAUGCAAUCAACAUCCGCCAUCCGUACAACGACGACAGCAACGACUGCAACUUCUGCCCAGGAGUUCCAGUUCCAGCGUCCGAUCCCGUCAGCCAUGACACCGACUCACUUUGUCGGCUCGACGUCGACUCACUAUCGGCCAGUUUCACCUGCGGCCGUAGCACCGCAACCGUACCCGCAGUUCAGUGCGACCAUGUCGCCCGUUUCGUCCCUGCAUCGAUCGAUGACGCCGCAUAGCAUUGCGAGCAGCUAUGGACCGGUGGAGUAUCAUCAGCAACAGCAGAUGCGUCCAGGAUCGACGCAGAGUUCGGUGUAUGGUGGGGUGACGUAUCAUUAUGGUCCAGCUGCUGCCGGACCGGGUCACCAUCCCCAGGCACAGUCCCAGUACGUGAUCUACGAUUAUGGGGGCGAAAUGGGACCUUCGACGGCGGAAAUUAUUGCGGCCCAGUCGCAGGACUACGUAGAUGAGAAGCUGGCCGAAUAUCAAGCAACCAUCAUGCUUCUACAAGAUGAACAAGAACGUGUACAGAAGAAAACUUUCGUAAAUUGGAUUAAUUCAUUUUUAAACAAGCGCGUACCACCGUUGAAGGUUGAAGAUUUGAUCCAAGACCUGAAGGAUGGCACGAAACUGUUGGCCCUGCUGGAGGUACUCUCCGGCGAGAAGCUACCGAUGGAAAAGGGAAAAGUUUUGCGCCGGCCCCACUUUCUGAGCAACGUCAACACCGCCCUCCAGUUCCUUACCAGCAAACGCAUCAAGCUAGUCAACAUCAACCCGUCGGACAUUGUCGACGGUCGCCCGGCUGUGGUACUAGGUUUAAUCUGGACCAUCAUACUGUACUUCCAAAUCGAGGAGAACAGCCGCAUUCUGCACUAUCUGAACGAAAAUCUGAGCGGUUCGUUAAGUUCGCUCGGUAGCAGCAGUUCCGCCUCGAACAUACCGGGCCUGAGCAGCGGCAGCAAACCGGUAACGUACACGGCCUCGGUUGCCACCAGCAGCAAGGAAAUGUUGAAGCAGGGCCCGAAGAAGACGCUCCUGACGUGGGUGAACAGUGCCUUGCCAAAAUCGACGGGCCUGGAGGUCCGUGAUUUUGGAGCAAGUUGGCGCGAUGGCAUUGCGUUCCUGUCGCUGAUCGAUGCGAUCAAAACGAACGUAAUUAACAUUGCGGAGAUGAAGAAAUACAACAACCGCUACCGGCUCGAUACGGCAUUCAAUGUGGCCGAGUCGGAGCUUGGCAUCGCACGGCUGUUGGACGCUGAGGAUGUGGACGUCAACAGUCCGGACGAGAAGAGUAUAAUGACUUACGUCGCACAAUUUCUACACAAAUACCCGGACGUGAAGAACAUCAAUUCAAAGAGUGACAGCGAACGCGAACUGUUGGAACUCUUGGAUUGGCUUCGCCGAACGGUACGCUACUACGAUGGAAUGCAUGGCAAAUAUCCCAACAACUACCAGAUGUACGAGAGCGUUAACGGGGAGAAGCUGGAGAAGCAAAACACGUACAAAAAGGUGAAGAGCAUCAACGCCGCCAAGAUGACGCCGGAAGUUCAGGAGCUGAACAGUCUCUGGACACAGCUCGAGCGUCACAUGCAGCAGUGGUUGUGGUACCUGGACAGCAGCCUUCCGGAUCAGUUCGGUGCAAUUGGACGGUGGUUAAGCAAUGGUGAAAAGCUGCUGAAUGAUGACGAUAUACCGAGCAACAUGAACGAGGAGACGGCAUCGCUGAUUAGCAAGAAGCUCGAGGCGCACAAACAAUUCUUCGGCUCGUACUACGAGGUGCGUGAAACGUUCAACAACGUGAAGAUGACCCCGUUGGCGAAGAAGGUACCGCUGGGGCAGUUGCAAAACAUGGAGAAGCGACUGCUCGACAUCGAACCGUGCGCCAGACAGCGGCGCAUUAAGCUGAAGUAUCUCGAGCACAAGUGUUGUCUGAUCGCGUUCCUGAACCUGCUCGAGAACAAGAUUAACGGUGUGAAGUACAACAACGAGGAGACGGUGAAGCAGUCGCUGGAUCACUUGAAGAACUUCGUUACGCGCAAUCAAAUCAUGCAAGAGUUCGAGAAAGCGUUGAUCGAUAUGCGGCAGGUGAUUGAGGAGUACAAGAUCGAUGGUAACAUUACGAAGAAGGAGAUGUACAACAUCGAUGUGUUUCUGCACGAAAUCGAGGAUCGCUGGAAGAACGUGUCGUCGCGGUUGAUCUGUACCGAGACGAUGCUCGAGGAUGUGCUGUCGCACUGGCAGCGCUGGCGUACGUUGGUGCAUGAGAUCGAGACGUGGUUGGUGCAGGCCCACGAUGCCCUGCAAGGCACCGAAGACGAGCGUAUCGAAUUCUUCCAGAACAUCAACGUGUACAAGGAGAAGUUCGAUGCACUGACGGACACGUUCAACAUCUUGAAAUCGACUUGCGAUCAAGAGACCAGUGUCGGGCUGGAGAGAAAAUACAACCAGCUGGCAGCGCACUGGGAGCAGGUGUUCCAGCACACCAAGCAGUACCUACACGUGGGCGAUAUUCUGCAGCAUCGCCAAAAGUUCAAGGCAGACGCCGCCCAGCUAAACGAAUGGAUUCAACGCACUGAGACGGCACUCGGACGUAACAAUUUGCGCGAUUCGGGUGAGAUUCGUCGGUGUGAAACGGAAAUCAAACAAAUCGCGUGCGAAAUCGAAGCGAUGGAAGAACUGUUCAAAUCGAUCAGCCGCAGCUUCCAGGCACUGAUCAAGGAAUAUUCGCGGGACGAAGUUGACCGUAUGAUGAUGAUGAUGAAGAAGCAGAAGGAAGCGUUGGUACGGGUGCGCGCUCAGAUACCGAUCAAGCUGCAUCUGUUCCACCAGCUGCUCACUCAGCAGGAAGCGCUCGAGAGUGGCCAGCGCGAAAUCUCCCAGUGGUUGGAUGAGGCCGAGAAUCUACUGAUAUCGUACUCGUUCACCAACGAUCCGCAGCAGACGAAGAACAAUCUGGCAAAGCACAAAGCGUUCUUCAACCGUACGCUGUACUACAAAUCGAUGCUGGAAAGCAAGAACAAUGUGUUCCAGAAUCUGCUCAAGCUCACCGAUACGGACAGCAGUGUCGAUAUGAGUGAGGCGGCUUCCAAGAUGAAGCAACUGAACGAUCGGUUCAGUUACGUUAUCAACAAUGCGAACGAUUGGGAGUACAAGCUGCAGGAAAAUUUGCGUGUUUGGGAAAACUUUAACGAAUGCAAACAGAAGGUGGAAACGUUCCUGCGCCAGGCGGAAGCGUUCCAGAAGUCUGCCAUACCGGUGGAAAAGGAAACCGAUGCCGAAAUGCAGCUGGAGUUCUUCAACUCGGCCGACCAAACGAGCAUCAACAAGCUGGAGCGUAAUACGGAAGAUCUGCUGAAGUAUUUGCCACCGUCCGAGCAGCAAAUCCUGAUCGCCAAGGUGGAAGACAUCCAGCGGCAGUGGAGCGAGGUAAUCCAGCGCAUCCCGCUCCAUCUGCUGAAGGUUGAGUUCCGGCUGAAUGAGCUAACGUUCAAUGGGUGUGCGAAUGACAUCGAGAAGGAGCUGAACGCCGAAGAGCAAGCAUUCAAUUGCAACGAAAACUUCGAAGCCAUACUGCAGCGCAAUUUGGACUACUUCAAGAACAACGAUCUGCAACGAGUGGAGCAAGUGUUGGGCAACAUGGAGAAGAUCAACUACAUCUAUCUCGAAAAGUCGGCAAACGAUCAAGCGCUGGCACCGCUCUACCAGCGUGCGAACGAUAGUUGGAUCGCUAUCUGCAAGCGGAUUGACAGUGUGCGCAACAUUUUGCACAAAAUUCCGGCCCAGUGGGACGCUUACCAUGCGAAGUUUGAUGAGAUGAACGCGUGGAUGGACCGGGUGGACGAAUCGUUGAGGCAGAUCAUGGUGGAGAAGCAGACGAUGGAAGAGUUCGAGCAGGAAAAGGCCACUUUCCAGUUGAAAACGAUAAUGAACAUUUGCUUCGAAGCCGAUGCAAAGCGGGAAGACAUGAAGUGGUUGGUGAAAACGUUGGACUUCCUGCUGAGCCACACCAACGAAGAGCAGGCAACGAUCGAGCAGGAAAAGAUCGAAAAACUGAUUGCCCGCUACAAAACGCUCAUACCGACGAUCGAAACAACCAUGACCAAGACGGAGGUGUUCGCCAAGUGUUACACCUACCGUCGAGAGGCACAGGAAAUAUGUGACCUGCUGGAUCGCAUCAAAUCGCAGGCACGAAGUGUCCCGCCGCCCGAAAGCUACAAGCGUGUGAACGAAAUGAUCGAAGAGCAGCAGUACUCCAUCAAGGAGCUGGAUAAUCAGCGUGCCCACAUCAUGAAGAUGCUGCAGCGCGGUAAGGACCUGAGCAAGAACCCGAGUGCACCGCAGUUCAUUGCCGGUGAGAUCCGCAAGCUAGAAUCGGGUUGGAAUGAUACGUACAACGAGGCAGCUGAGAAGGUGCGCGCCCUGAAAGCCAUCCAGAAGGUUUGGGGUGAGUACAACGAGCAAAAGGGCCAGAUUGUGGGUUUGCUGAACACGGCCGAGAUGGAGCUGCGGUCGGUGACGCCAUUGCAAACCGAUCCGAAGAGUGUUACGCAGGAUUUGGACAUGAAGCGUCAGUUGGCAAUGAACUUGAAGCAAGCCUCCUCCAAAUCCUUGCUGCAGCUGAACGAUCUGUGUCGUGACCUGGGAAUGUCAUUGCCCCCAACAACGCGACAAGUGAUUGAGAAGGAGGUGAGCGAUCUUGGCAAGCGUGUGGACAAUACGGUCGACUACGUCGAGAAGCGUGUCGUUUACCUCGAAGACUACAGUGACAAGUGGAACGAGUACAAGCAACGGCUCGAUAGUCUGAAGAGCUGGGCGAACAACGUGUACCCGAAGAUGGUUGCCGCCAUUAAGCAACCGCAGAUCACUGCGGAAGAUCGUGUGCUGAAAACGAAACAGCUCGAAGGUGUGCUAACCGAGAAGAUUCGUCAGCUGGACGUCUUAAAUGCGAGUGCUGCUGAUCUUGCCUCAAAGGAAGGCAACCUGAGUGAGAUGAAACGGCUCAAGGCGGAGGUUGUACAUCUGCAGGGGACCUUUACCGAACUGCACCGCAUGGUUGACAGCGAAAAAGCGCUGGUGGGCGAAGACUUCGAAACGUGGAAGAGCUACAACCGCGAUAUGGACAGCCUGAAGGAGUGGGUUGAGCGAGCCAAACUUGCACCGGAACUGGAGCAAAUCAGACCCUCGACCUUGCCGGAAGCACGCGCCUAUCAGGCACGGUUGGAAACGUUCAACGAGCAGUGCGAGGGCAAGAUGGACGAGUUGCAGAAUGCAAUCAAAAACUCGCAGAACAUACGGUACGGUGUAAAACCGUCGGAAGAAACGGACCGGUACUACAUGAUCGUGUCGAGCAUCUACGAAAACGUGCAGCAUCUGCUGAACAAAACGGGCAAACUAGUCACCAACUGGGCGAUCCUGGACGGUGAUCUGGAGAAGCUGAACGGGUUCAUCGAACGAGCUGAAGUUCGGAUGGGAGAAUUUGGCACCGUAAAAGGGCCGGCUGCUGCUCUGCCGAUCGAUCUGCUGGAAACGAAGAUUAAAUCACUGAAACUGUUCAGCAACGAAAUAUCGGAGCAGCAGGCCAAGCUGAUCGCGCUGGUGCACAUGUUCGAUCAGAUUAAUCACGGCCUCUCGGAGGACGGUGUGAACGGCGUGCGGGACAAGCUGAAGUCAGCAAAGGAUCGGCUGUCCAAGCUAAGUGAUGAUGCUCGGGCCCGCAUUAACGCGAACUACGAAAGUAUUGUUGAGCAGCAGAACUUUAACGCACAGAUGACCGACUUCAGCAACUGGAUGGAUCAGAUACGAACCAGUAUUAGUGAGCUGGAGAAUACCGCUGUGGACGAGAUUGAGUUGGCUGUACAGAAUGUACAGUACCUGGUGCAGCAGCAUGCUGACAAACGGGACACGUUUAACCAGAUCUAUGCACAGGUCAAGCAGCAGAGUUUGUCGAACAAUCCGAUGGAGAACAAGCUGCUGAACGAGACGUACAGUUCGCUGGCGAGCAACUACCAGAACCUGGAAUCGAGCCUGUUGCAGAUGAAAGAUUUCCUGCAGAAAUGGGUGGAGUUUUUGCAGUGGCACAACACUACCAAAGAUCAGUUGGCGUACUUGCGCGAGAGUAUGAUCAAGUACGACGUGUCCAGUGAGGAGCAGCUGAACGAUGCUAACCGUCGCAUAGGUGAAGUAGCUGCAGGAAUAGAAAACUGGCGCCGGCUAUCGAUCGCUAUGGAGCAGGAACCGUGCAUAUCGUUCCACGAUAAAGCGCACAAGCCGGUUAGUGCGAUAACGAUGAUUGCGGACUUGGAUCAUAAGCUGGUGAGCAUCCGAUCGCAGGUAGACGGAAAGCUAAAGGAGGUCGAAAAUACCAAAGAUCGCGUCAACAAGUUCCACCAGACGCAGAAGGAGCUUACCGAUUCCCUCAAGAGUAUCGAGGAGAAGCUGAAAGGUAUCAUCCAAGCCGCACGUCUCUCCACCCUGGACGAUGGAAUGGAGGAUCUCUCAACGUUGAACGAAAAGAUCAGUGAGCUGUGCAGUGCGAAGGCACAGGUACAGUACGAGGGCAAUCUGUUGCUGAAGCAGGAUGUCGUUGACACUGGCAUGGAGAUUCAGGAGGAGCUGGGUAAGCUCGAUAAGAAGGUGUCCGAUUUGCAGCAAGAGUCCGAUGAAACGUUGCGCGUCUUUUCGGGCACAAGCGAUUUGUAUGCCGACUUCAACAAGUACAACAUGAGCUUCGCCAACGAGCUGAAGCAGAUCGAAGCGCUUAACAACGGUACGGUGCUGAACUUCGAUAACAAACCCGCCUUGCAGCAGGCUCUCGAUCAGCUGAAGAAGGCUUCCGAGACGAUGAUGAAGAAGGUGAAGAGAAGUCUGGAUGUGGUGGCGGCCAAAGGUAACGAGCUGGCGAAAACGUUCCGUGGCUACAAUCCACAGGACUGUGACAACAUCCUGGACAUCAUCCGCCACAACAAUGAACUUUUCAAGGCGAACCUGGAACGCUUAAUCGACAACUCGAGUGUGCUCGAUCAGAAGGUGGCACUGUACAAGCAGGCGGACGAGCUGUACCAGGAUCUUGACGAUUGGUUGCAAUCGAAACGCGACCAGCUAUCGCGCGUGCUAGAGAACCCGGGUGAGAUCGAGAGCAAAAUUGUGACCUACCGUGCGGAACUGCCGGCACAGCAAGCGUUUAAGGAAAAUCUGGAUGGAUUGCUGCAGGAGUUUAAGAAAAUGAACGGAGGCAGUUUGCCGAAGGAUCUGCAUGCAAUGUCGGUCCAGCUGGAUGAUGCUUUCCGUGCCAUCGAGGAUACUGUGGGUCGGCUGAACAGUCGCAUGUCCGAGUAUACUGCCGACGAGCGUCGGUUGAAGCUAUCGAUCAAGGGUAUUAUUGAGCGUAUCUAUAGUAUACGCGAAGAGAUCGUUGGCUGUGACGAUAUGACGCUGGACAGUGGCAAGCAGCUCGUACAUCUGGCCGAAUGUCGUGAGUUGCGCCGGAAGUUAAACCUGGUCGGUGAAGAAAUCACGGAGCUGAAGAACGAAUUCGCCUCGAUGGAAGCAAAGUACGAUCAAGGUAUCAAGGAAGCGUCUACCGUCUCGAAAGAAAUCCAGAAUCUCGAUCAACGCUUUGGGCUGGUGAUGAACAGCCUGAACGAAGUGGAAACCAAACUGACGAAGGGUGUGGAGAAAUCGUUCAAGGAUAAGCUGGGUGCACUGACCCGAAUGAUUGGAGCGCAGAGUGAGAAGCUGAACUGGUGUGCACCGGAACCUACGAGUGAUAAGUACCAGCUGGAAGUGAAACGAACCACGCUGAACGAUGUGCGUACGAGCAUUGACGAUUGUGAACGUAUACUGGGCGAGGUGGAGCGAUCCCUUUCGGGCGCGGUGACGGAACUGUUUUCUCCGGCGAAGGUUAACAAUAUGUCCGACGAAACGAAGGAAGUGAACAAACAGCUGGAGGUGUUGAAGCAUGCUUUCGUAGAGACGGAGAAACAGUUGACCGACAACAUUGCCCUGUGGCUGAGCUACGAGACUAUCUCCGAGGAGGUGAUCCAUUUCCUGAAGGACCUGGAGACACGCAACCGCAUGGAAACGGUCCUUUUGAUCGAUUUGGCCAAUCUGGGUGAGAAAUCGAAGGAAGUGAGUCAAGCACGAGCGACGCUGGAAGAGUGCAAAGUGAAAAUGGAUCAACUGCAGUCCGUUGGAAAUCAGUUGAACGAGGUGAACCAGGAAUCGCGUGCCCUUGUGUUGGUUCACCAUCUGCAGAACAAGUAUCAAACAUUCAGCAAGUACUUCGGCCAGCUGCUCGAUCGUUUGGAGGACGUACGCUUGAAGGAUGUGCAGUUCCGUGAGGCGGUGGAUAAGAUACGUCAAUGGUUGCGAGAGAUGCAGAACAAGAAGCACGCACAAAACCUUGGCGCGGAUGCACAAGUGCAGGCCCUUUCCGAUCGUGAGUACGAAGCAGCCAAGGCGUUGCGAGCGGAGAUCCUGUCGAAGGAUAGUGCCCUGAAUGAAACCUGCUCGCUGGGUGAAAAUCUUUACGCCGAAGUGAGUGUCGACUGCCGUGAGGGUAUUCGCGAUGAGAUGAAGCGUUUACGCAGCGAUUACAACGCACUGCUGGAGGAGGUUAACGGUGGCAUCAAGCGCAUCGAAUCCGAUCUGAUCAAGAAGAAAUCGAUCGACGAAAGUCACAACCAGCUGAACAAUUGGCUAACGGAGCUUCGCGGUAAAAUUACGUCCGGGUUGUCCGAUCGCUGCGCAACGCUGCCGGAGAAGAAGAGCGCUCUGUACAGUGGUAAAAACAUGCAGAAGGACAUCACUGUGCACGAGACGAACUUGGACCAGAUUCAGAAGAAGGUUAUGGCACUGCCGGACAAAAGCUCCCUGGCACAGAUCGAAGAAACACGCCAGAACUAUGGUGCCCUUCGGGAGGAACUCGAUCGAAAGAUUGCACUUCUGGAGCAAGCCAUCAAAUCGCACGAGCAGUACAAUGCGAUGUUGGAAAAGUCACGAGACUGGUUGCUGAAGCUGCAAUCCCAAACGGAAGACAUGUUCAACGAUGGUGAUCUUACGAAGGCAAAGCUAGAGGAGUAUUUGAUUCUAGUCGACACGGUGCUAACGGAGGAGGAGGCAGCGCUGGACGAUGUGAACGAGUGUUACAAGCAGUUUGCCGUUGUUAUGGCACAAACGCACGAGAACGGCCAUUCGGAGCUGUUACGUGCGUUCGAAGACAGCAAACGGCAGUGGACAACGUUCUUCGACAAGUGCCGUGCAUUCAAGGCCCGGUCGACGGAAUCGCUGAAACAGCUGGACGCGUUCAACGGUCGGCUGGAAGGAGCGCUGGUAUGGUUGGCUGGUAAAAAGAGUGAAAUCAAGGAUACUACCGCACAGGGCCCGCUGGACGCUAAGCAGCAGUGUCUGGAGGCGUUGAAGAAAUUGCGUGACGACAUCCAAAGCUACGGUGUAAAUGUGAGCGGCAUACUGGAGGAAAGUCAUCAGGUGAAAUCGAAGUUUGACGUGAGUGGCAAGGUGGCGCAGUUGCAGAAUGAAUAUCGGGUCGUGGCUGGGUUGUGUGCCGAAGCGAUUGCAAAGGCCGAAUCUACUCUGCACGAUCAAAGUGACUUCAACCAGGCGUACGAUGAGUUUGAACGGCUGCUGCGCAAGAAUCUCGAAGGUUUGGAAGAGUUCCGUGUGCUGGUCGGUGAUCUGAGUGUGCUGCAGGAACGGCAGCUGCGUUUGAAGGAAAUCGCCUACAAGCGGUUGGAUGAUAGCAGUCCGUACGAAGAUCUGAUCAAUCGUGGCGAGAAGCUUUAUUCCUACACCAGCCCCGAAGGUCGAGAGCUGAUUCGUCAGAAGCUGGGAGCGAUCCGGGAUCUGUGGGAUCGUUUCUCGGACGAGCUGAACGCGGUUACACAGCGUCUGGAUCAGUGCAUACUUCAGUUUGGAGAGUUCUCGCUUCAGCAGGAACAACUUUCAAAGUGGUUGAAGGAUAUUGAAAAGUCGAUGGAAGUGAACGCAGAACUGAAAGCAAACAUACAGGACAAGCGUACCCAGUACCAGAACCACAAGCUGAUGCACCAGGAGAUUCUGUCCCAGGUGGGACUGGUCGAGUCGGUUUGUGCAAAGGCACAGCAGCUGCUUACGCUGACGAAGGAUCAACAUCUGCAAAGCUGUGUAGUAUCGAUCAAGGAUACCUAUCAGGGCAUAGUGCGCAAAUCCGGCGAGCUGUUGGACAACCUCAAUGCAUGCGUCCUGGUGCAUCAAAACUACGUCACUGCCUGCAGCAAACUGCGAAGCUGGAUCAACGAAGAAAAGGACAAGGUGUUCUGCUGCGAAGAAACGGGUGGUGAGAAGAACGAAAUCAACAAACGCAUCGAAGCUCUCAGCAAUUUGAAGCUCGGAAAACCGAAGGGUGAGGAACUGCUGAACGCUCUGGUACAGUGCUUCGACGCAAUGAAAGACAGUACGUCUGCUGCUGGAAUAAGUAUGGUCGAACGGGAGAUUGGUGAGCUGCGUAACGAUCUGACGAGCCUGUACGGUCAGAUUGACGAAUUGAUCGGAAACCAACGCAAAUCGCUCAACGGUUGGAGUCAGUUCGAUCAGGAUUUGGAUGCACUUACGAAAUGGUGUCGUUCGAUGGAAGGUAUUUUCCGCGAGCAGCUGCUGUACGAUUCGCUCGAACGCAAGCAGCAACAGUUGGAGGUGUUCCGCAAGAAUCAGGAAGCAAUCGGUGAGAGGCAGAAACAGAUCGAUGACUUUGUCACCAUGGCACAGGCCCUCUUUACGAAGACCGGUGUGGAGAAGAUAAAGUUCUACAUCAAUCAGCUGAUCAACCGUUAUCAGCUGCUGCAAGUACUGAGCAAGGAAGUUGCUAACCGUGCGCAGAAUAUUGUCAACGAUCACAAAAACUACCAAGAACGGUAUACCGAAAGUGCUGCUCGGCUGCAAGAUAUUGAGAAGGAUCUGGAAGCGUUGGGACAUGAGAAGCUGGGCGCUGCAAACCAGUCGAAGCUGCAGCAGCUGGAGAUUGAGAAGGAGCGGUUCGAGAAUAAUCUUACCAGCUUGGUGACCGCAAGUGAAAAGGUACUCCCCGAAACAAACACCCAUGGACGGGAGAAGAUUCGCGAAGAAGUGCGCCAACUGAAGGAUCGUUGGGAUCAGAUCAUUGCUGGGCUGAACAAUCUGAAGAAGCAGCUUGACGUUCGCUCGAUUCAGUGGUCCUCCUAUCAGGACAUUUUGCAGCAGGUGCUGCAGUGGCUGGACGCAACCGAGCGUAAGAUUGAACCGAACGAAUCGCAGAGCUGGAACUCUACGCAGGAGAUCCGUUCGAAGCUGUUCAAGUACAAGGCUAUUCUGCAGGAGAUCAGCGGCCAUCGGCGUAUAAUCGAUUCGUUGAAAGAGAAAGCGGACUCCCUCGUUACGGACGUGCAGAACGAGGACAUCAAUGCGAAGGUCCAGUCCAUAACCGAACGGUACGAGCUGCUGAAAAAGUCUUGCAGUGAUUUGAUACGCCGGCUGGAGCAAUCGCUGGAGCUGUGCAACAAGUUUAACGAAUCGCAAAAAUCGUUGCUCGACGAGCAGGACUAUCUGUUCGGUGAGCUGAAGCAGCUAUCGGACGUGUCCGGCAACAAGCGUGCCGUGCAGGAAAAGGUCCAAAAGAUCGAUGAUUUGCAGCAAGCCAAUGGAAAGAUGGAGGAGAAGUUUAAGCAUCUUGCUAAACUUAUCACCGACAACGGCGAUCUGAUAUCGUACGGUGCGAAAACGGUAAUGGAGCAGGAUCUGCUGAAGAUGAAGGGAGACUUCGAGAAGUUUGUCGCAUCGAUUGGAGACGCCCGGGUGGAGUUGCAGAAGCGUAUGCAGCUGUGGGACGAUUACCAGCGUGAUCUUGAUCAGAUCGGUGCGUUUUUGGCGGAGGUUGAAGACACCAUGCGAGGUUACACGCUGAAGAACAGUUUGAACGAGAAACAGGAGCAGCAUGAAUACUAUCAGGCGCUGUUGGGACGAUUGAAGCAAAAUGCGCUGGAGUUCGAUAAGCUGCUGGACAAGUCAUCGGAGCUGUUGCAGAGCAGCGGUGAUACGAAGAUAUCGUUCAAUAUGCAGCAGCUUAAGUCUCGUGCACAGUCUGUCGAGGGUACGGUGAAGGAGUUGGCAAAGAAGUGUGAAAGUGCCUACAACGACCACAAGCUGUACCGUGGGCGAUACGACGAGUGUGAUAAGGAGCUGGACGAGAUUCGGGAUGUGUUCGAUGGGUGUCGCAUGCAGAAUGCCCAAAACCUGCAGAGCACAGGCCAACAGCCGGACCCGCAAGCUGUACUGGGUACAAUACAAUCGCUGCUCGCCAAACACAACAUGGUGACGGUCCAGUGCAAUGCGGUGUCCGACAGCGGUGAACAGCUGUACGCUACCACAGCAUCCAAGGGUCAGCAGAUGAUCCGAAGCGAAAUCCAAGAGCUGACCGCCAAGUGUGAACGUUUGUUUGACGAAGUCAACGAGUACGCUCGUUCGUAUGAGGGCCGUUUGGCGAAGUUGUCCGGAUUUAUGGAGAAAGCCGAUCAGCUGCAGGAGUGGCUCAAUAACGUGGAGGGCCAGCUGGGACGCGGCAGUCUCAUCCUGAAACCAACACUGGACGAAAAGUGUGCCCAGCAACAGGCGUACUCGGAGCUGCUGAAUGAUAUCAAAAACCAUCGCCCCGAGCUGAACAACGUGCGCGAUCUGGUUGACAAUAUGCAGGAGCGUCAUCCAAGCAUCGAACGAAGAAUGGCUGAACUUGCGGCAAAGUAUGAAGAGUGUCUGGAGAAGGCACAAAACUACGGCGAUCAGUACGAUCGUAUCGUGCAUAACCACCGCCAGUACUGUAAGGCGGUGAUGGAAACGCAAGACUUUAUCGAUGCCAAUCACAACACGGUGGAGCUGUGGGGUGAAACCGAUCUGGAUCAGGUAUCGCUCAUGACCAAUUUGGAUCGUCUUACGGAGCUGAAGAAAUCGAUCGUGGCGGAGCAGAACCGUGUGGAGCAGAUUCGCACAAUGGGUGAAGCUACCAUUCCCGAUACGAGCGAUGAGGGUCAGGCGAACAUACGCUCGCAGAUUGACAUUUCGCAGCAGGAGUGGGAAGGACUGCUGGCCGCUAUCGAUACCACGAUGGACGGCAUUCGGGGUAAGAUGAGCGAAUGGAGCGAUUACGAGAAGAUACGCACGGACUGUAUGAACUGGAUGCGUGAUAUCGACGCCAAGAUCCAUUCGGUCGACCUGAAAGCGACGCUGAUCGAUAAGAAGGCUACGUUGGACUAUCUGAAGAGCUUGCAGGGCGAGGUAAAGGCCAAGGAGCUGGAAAUCGACAACUUUACCGAGAAGGCUCAACAGCUGUACCGUGGCUAUCUGAGCAGCCGUAAUUCGCAAAUAUCGGAACUGGCGGUGAAGUACCAGCAAACGGCUAGCCGUAUCAAGGAGCUGGUGGGUCGUUGGCAGCAGUACGUCAUUCAACAUCAAGAGCUCGAAACACGGAUUGGCGAGCAUCGCGAUUGGCUGAACAGUGUGCGCGAGAAGCUGAACUACUGUGCCGAUCUAUCGAGCACCUCCGAAAAAGAGCUCCAAAGCAAGCUGAAACUCGUCCAGGAUAUGAUUGUGAACAAGGAGGAUGGUUCCGGGCGGUUGCAGACGAUCGUGGAUCUUGCCCAGCAGGUUCUGGCCUGUACUACACCCUCCGGACACGAGGCGGUGAAUAAGGCUGUAGCUGCAUUGCAAGAGGAAUGGUCCUCGCUUGCGUUACGCAUGAUCGACAUCCGUGCGAACUUAGACGAAGCCAUUAACCAGUGGUCUGGCUUUUUGGACCAGGUUAACGAUCUGAAACGGAACAUCGACUGGAUGGAGAACGAGCUGAGUGGAUUUAUCGAGUUCCAGGCAACGAUGGCCGACAAGCGGGCACAGCUGGAGCGUAUCAAGAACACGGAGGAGAAAAUCCGUCUCGAAAAGAUCGAAAUUGAACCGUUGAAGCAGAAAAUGGCCGAAAUGGCUGCCUCAGGUCAGCAGUCCCAAGCAGCAGCUACGGCUCAGCAGAUUCUCAGCAAAUUCGACUAUCUGGCGGAAAAGAUAAGCAAGAUAUUGACCGAUCGUGAAGAUCAGUAUCGUGAUCAUCGUCUGUACAAGGAAGCUUACGAUGAUUUGUUCAACUGGAUCAGCCGUGCUAGGGAGAAGUUGCCGUGCGUGAAACAACAAUCGCUGAGCGACAAGCUAACGAUGGACAGUGCGAUUGCUCCGCUGGAUGCGCUCAUGAACAAGAAAGCUCAAGGCGAGCUGUUGGUGGAACAUCUCGUACACACCGGCGAGGUGGUGAUGGCUUCAACGUCCGAGAAGGGUAAGGAAGCGAUCCGUAGCGACAUCAACGGGCUGAAGACGAACUUUGACUCACUGUUCGGUGACAUUGACAAGCAGAAGCGCGACCUCGAGAAGACGCUUAAUUUACUCCGCGAGUACAAGGAAGAGUACGAGCGGCUGUCCGAAUGGCUGCAGCAGGUGGAUAUCCUGGUGAAGAACCACAAGCUUGCAAUGUGCUCGAAUUUGGCCGAAAAGGAAAAACAAGUUCGUGAGAUGCGUGAACUGAUCGGCAAACUGGAGAAGGGCCAAGGGGAGAUGGACAAGUUUAACGCGUUCGCCGCUCCACUGCUGCAAUCGCAUCUCGAUACGUACAUCGGCAAUCAACUGCGCCACCUGAACUCACGCUAUCAGGUGCAGGUAAAUCUGGCCAAGGAUGUCCUCAAGAAGGUUGAGACGAACCAUGAUCUGCACCGCGAGUACAAGGAUAAUCUGACCAAGGCAAACAGUUGGAUAGAGAACGCCAAGGAGAUUGUGCGCUACUCGACCGAAAAUGUGGACAGCGUUAGCAAGGAUAAUCUGGAGAAACGGUUGGAGAAGAUAGUGGAGCUGAUACAGCAGCGUGAGCAGGGCCAGCACCUCGUGAACGCGACCGUCAACACGGGUGAAAAGGUAGUGAAGAGUACGAAAUCCGAUGGCAAGGAAGUGAUCAACGGCGAAAUUAAGGACAUCCAAACGAACUGGGAUCGACUGGUGAAGCGUAUGUCCACGGCAAAGGUGCAGCUCGAGACGAAUCUCUUGCAGUGGGCAGACUACAGCUCCAGCUACAAUCACCUGCAGCAAUGGAUUCAAGAUCGCGAAAGCAAACUGCAGCAGGUGUGUGAGCAAAAGGUCGUACGCUUCCGUCUCGGAGGUACGUCGAGCAGUUUGAGCAGCGGGUUGAAUGAACGCCGUGCCAACCUUCGUCAGGCGAACGAUAUCGUGCAGGAUAUCGUAAGCUUCGAGCCGAUGAUUCAGUCCGUGGCAAGCAAAGCGUCGGAUCUGCGUCAAACUUCGCCUGCUUCGGAGAUAUCGAACAAGUACGAGACGCUCAGCAAGCAGGCAAAGGAACUGUUCGAAAAGCAGAAGGAAACGGUCGAACUUCACCAGGCGUUUAUCGAUGCAAGCAAUGAGUUCGCUGCCUGGAUUCGUAACGCUAAGGAAUGUCUGAACAAGUGCUCGGAUUCGCGCGGUGAUAAGGAAACGCUCGUUUCGAAGAUGACCCAGCUGAAGAUACUGGACAACGAUGUACCGGUUGGUCAGAAGAAACUGGAGAAGGCACUCGAACAGGCGGAAGUUGCUUGUCGCAACGUGGACAGCGAGGAGGUGGAAGCGAUCGAGAAGGAGGUGGCCAUUCUGCAGGAAGAGUUCGACAACUACUGUCUCGCGCUGAAGAAGAUCAGUGGCGCACUGGAGAAUGGUAUCGUACGCUGGACCGAGUACGAUGAUCAGUACGGUGUGGCACUGAAAUGGUUGGACAGCAUCGAACAGGAAGUGCAAACGUACAACAAGAUGCAGGUCAACCUGCAGGAGAAAAAGCGUGUGUUGGAAGAGUUCCAGGACAAGCUGCAAACACUGUUCGAUUGGCAACGGGAGCUUGACAGUUUGAAUAUGCGAGCUCAGGUACUGUUGGAAAUUUGUGCCGAUACACGCAUCAGCAAUGGUGUGACGCAGCUAACCACCAAGUACAAUGUGCUGCUGUCGAUUGCGAAGGAGAUUAUGCGCCGGCUAGAACUGCACUACCAGGAACACCAGCAGCACAACACGCUGUACGGCGAGUGUCAGGAUUGGUUGGACAGGAUGCGUGAGAAAUUGAACGAAUGCGAAUCCGUUCCGCAUACCGUCGCAGAAACACAGUCCAAGCUGAACAUUGUGAAGGGCAUUCGCCAGUCGUUGGAACAGGGCCAGAACAAGCUGCGCUACCUGAUCGAGCUGAAGGAGAAAAUAGUGCUCAGUACGGAAACGAGCGGUGCCUCGAAGAUUGAGGAAGAUACGGAAAAUCUGAAGACCGAGUAUGAAUCGCUGAUGGUGGACAUAACCGAAACCCGCCAGCGACUCACCAACCAUCUGGCACAGCUGGAGGACAUUGGCAAGCUGUCCCGAAUGUUGGCCGAAUGGAUUGAGGAGGUGCAGAGCAAGCUGGACGCCGGUGAGACGAUGCAGAACGAGCUGGCCGACAAGCGUGUGCUGUUGGAAAAGUAUCGUGCCAUUCACCGUGAAACUGGAAACUACAACGAGGUGGUCGAGAAGAUUCGGUCCAAAAUGACCGAUAACGCCAACAUUGACGUGGAAGAGUUCAGCAAGAUUCUAACCGAUUACGAAGCGAUCGUGGCGAAGGUUGCGGCCGAAAUCGAGCGGCUGGAAAAUCAGGUCAACAACCACGAACGGUUCAAGCAAGCGUUGGGUGAGCUGUACGAAUGGAUGAAAGCCACUCGCCAGACCAUACAGCAGUCGUCCGAUUUCCACGGCGAUAAGGAGCACAUCGUUGGGCGCAUCGAGAAGCUGAAGGGAAUCGAGCUUUCGUUUGCGGAAGGUAAAGUGCUGCUGGAGAAUAUGGCCGACAUGGGCAACUCGCUGGCAGCGAUCAGUGGCCAAGAAGGGCAGGCUACGAUCAAGCAGGAAAUACUGCAGGCGAGAGCGGAUUGGGAUGAGCUGGAGGAGUUGGCGCGCAAUUCGAGACAAACGCUGGAAGAUUGUCUAUCGUCGUGGGACAGUUUCCUGGACAAGUCGGAAACGUUGGGUGCGUUCCUGGAGGAGUACAACGUGAAAGUGAACGGAUACGGUGCGAGCGAAGGAACUGCCGAUCAGGCCGCUGUACUUAGCGAUCUUAAGCGCAUUCAGGAUUUGAUUCUGACGAAAAAGAGUACCGUCGAAGAGUUGAACGAUGUUUGCGAGGCACUGAUGGAGAAGAGUGCCUGCUCGACGGUUCGCGAUCGUACAGUCGAUCUGCAAAAGAGCUACUCGACGUUGCUUGGAAAAGUUCAAGGCUUUAUCACGAAACUAGAGAAAAACCUCGUUAGUCAUACCGAGUUCCUAUACUAUAAGGAAGAAAUCAACAAGUGGUUGAACGAUGCCAAUGCGACGAUUAAAAAUUGCAGCGACGUUGCAGCGGAUGAUGUGGUAGUGAUCCGACAGAAGGUGGUACAGCUGCAAGGACUGUCCAACUCAAUCCCGCAAGGCCAAAAGCUGUUCGAGAUGUUGCAAGAUUCUUUCACCAAAUCAUCCUACCUGUACCCGGAGGAUAAGCAAACAACCAUGUUCCAGGACAUUUCGGACAUUCGUGACUCGCUCGAUACGGUCAUUAUAGGUAUCAGCUCGUCGCUGAACAACCUGAACGCACAGGCAAGCCGUUUGGAGUCAUACGAGGAGCUGAAACGUCGCAUCAACGAAUGGCUUGCGACCACCGAAAGUGUGUUCGAAACGCUCCCAGAAACGCACGGUGAAAUGACGGAGGUGAAGACCCUACUCGAACGUCUGAAACACAUCCAAACGGAGAUAUCGUUUAAACAGGCGGACCUCGAAAAUCUCCAACAAGAAGCGGCGAAUCUUUUCGACGUGAACAAGUGUUCCGCUGAGAUGGAACGUGUCGCGAGUCUACAGUCGCGAUGCACCAAGCUCAGUGAAAAGUGUUCGUACCAGAUUCGCAACCUAGAGACGGAGCUGGACGAUCAGAUGGCGUACUACCAGAACCUGCAGGAAAUCGAAAAAUGGCUCCUACAAAUCUCGUUCCAACUGAUGGCGCACAACUCGCUGUACAUUUACAAUCGCGAGCAAACGCUGGAACAGAUCGCACAGCACGAGAAGCUGCUGGACGAGAUACAGCGCUAUCAGGUCAACAUUGAUGACUUCAAUGCCAAGGGCCAGUGCCAGAUCGAACGAUACAUUUUGAAAGCACCGGCCAUCAAGAGUCGCAUCGAGACGCAAAUGAAGAACAUACGUGACAGCUACAACUCGUUGCUGAAUACUUCGGUGCAGAUUAAGAACAGGCUGCACGAUUCGCUCAACAAGUUCCAGGAGUACGAAGAUACGCUGGAUGACAUUAACAGGCAGCUGGAUGAGAUGGAACCGAUCGUCGCGGAAGAACGACUGCUGGAGGUGGUGGAUUAUGCCGUCGGCCAAUCUCAGCUAGAGAAAGCGCAAGGUAUUCACAACAAGCUGCAGGUGGAGAAGAGUCGUCUAAUGUUUGCUGUGCAGGCCUGUGAAGCAGCGACAGCCAGUAUUAGUCGGCCCAGCUCCCCGAUGGAUAACGUGUCGCAGAUGAUACCGGAGAAGGAGCUGAUGGUAAGAGCGCGGCUCGAAGACCUUAUCGACGAUGUCCAGCAAUGGAUUGCGGAUCUGAUUUCCUCCAUAAACGACUGCGAACGACAACACAAGCAAAAGGUCGAGCUGGAGAACUGGAUUCAAAAGCAGAAGGCAAUCGUUACUGACUGGAGCUCGAAACCGUGCAAGUUUAGACCGGAAGCGGCUGAGCAGGAACUACGCGCAAUGAACGAACUUUCGCGCACGAUUACUGUCAAGCGAGAUGAUUUGCAGGGUGAGACCGAUCAGGACCAUCGGUUGCGCGAAGAGCUCGAGAAGCUGCAGGGUAGCCUGAAAAAGGUGAUCGAUCGCAAGAAGGAUGAUCAGCUGGCGAUUGAAAAGUAUCGCAAGAACUACGACGACGUUCAGGGAUGGCUGGAUGCAAUUACGAACCAGAUUGAUAACGUUGAGAAGGGUGGCGGUUUGAGCUGUAAGCAGAAGCUGGAGAAAAUCUCCAACAUUAAGCGAAUCCUGGAGAAUGAUAGCGAAAUGAUUACGAACUUCAAGCGCAACGGGGACCAUAUUGUGGAGCUGGUGAGCAACCUUGACGCCCAGCAGGUUACGGAGCAACUGAAAUCCAUCGACCGACGCUACAACGACAUUACGAAGCGUCUGAAUCGUCGGCUGGACGUGAUUGAUUCUACGAACAAAAUGUUUGGCAAGCUGCGAAGCGACAUUGGAGAACUGUCCCAGUGGGUUGUGGACAAGAACGGCUCGCUGGAUGUACCGUACCAGUUGGGAUCGGAUACAAAGUCGGCCGAAAAUCAACAGCAAACGUUCAAAUCGCUGCUGAAAGAAAUUGAAGGCAAACAAUCGUACGUGGACACGCUGGGCAAACGAUUUUCCAGCAUCCAGUCCGACUUGGAACCGGGCGAGAAGCAACAGCUGGAGACGGAACUGCACACGCUGAUGAGGAGCGUCGGUCUGCUCGGUGAUCGUGUGCGCGGUGAGCUGGACAAGAUCGUGGAAGACAUCUUGUGCCGCAAGAACAUGCACAACAAUCUGGACGUGACGCGUGCGUGGAUCAAAACGAAGCAGAACGAUGUGAACAAGAUUUCCGACCAGAUACCGCUGCUGUCGAGCAACGUGAACUCAGAGAUCAAGCUGUGCCAGCGCCAUGCACAGACGAUCCGGGAGUUUGAGGAAAACGCCUUCAGGGACGUAUCGAACCAGGUACGCGAAAUUAUGAAGGACUGCAGCGACGAUGGUAAGGCAAAGCUGGCUCAAGAAUUUGGUGACAUCGAGGCCAAACUAAGGGAGCUGGUAGAGAGCUGCUCCCGGAAGAUCGAGUUCAUGGAGUGCGAGCAUGGCAAGCGGCGCGAGUUCGAGGGUCGCAAGGAUCGCGUGUGGAACUGGUUGAACGAGGCGGAAUCGAUUGUGUCGUCGGACAUACGCACGACGAGCUACGAGAUAUUGAAGGACCAGAAGCAAAAGUUUGAUAAACUGUGCAAAGAGUGUGAGGUGAUGAAGGGCGUCGUGAAGGAGGCGGAAGACUUCAAGAGUGCGAUACUGCCCACGCUGAACGAACUGGACAAGACGAACAUAAACAAUCAGGUGAAGGUGAUGCGGGAAAAGUGGAACGCGAUUAGCAAUGUGCUGAAGGUGAAGUGUAAGAAGCUGGAAGAUCAUCUGGUGGAGUAUGAGGAUGCGCUGGCAAAGAUUCAAGGUUGUGCUGCGUUCAUCGUGCAAGUGCAGGGACGGCUGAAGGAGAUGAAUCGCCCAGUGACAAGCAGGAUCGAAAACAUUCAGGACUUCCUGUUGGCGUACGAGCAGAUUCUCGGCAGCUUGAAGGAUAAACGGUUGGAGAUGAGCACGAUACUGUUGACCAACUUACCGCAGCUUCGCGAAAACUCGGCCAAACUGGAGGAGAUGAUCAUGGGCAUCGAAGAGCAGUUGCGUCGGCUCAAGGCGAUGUUGCUGUUGAAGGAACAGUUCAUUGGUGCGAUCAAUGACAUUGUGAAGCUGAUUGCGAAGAUCAACACGGACUUCAACACGGUGGACAACUUUAGCCCGACGGUAGAUGAGCGUCUGCUGCGCUACGGCGAGAUUCUGCAGAGCAUCGAAGAAUGCGAAGGACUGUUGGUGGCGGCCACGGACAAGGGUCAUCAGAUCGCUAGCGAUGGUACCGAUCUGGAUCGGCACAACAUUAUGGAUCAGAUCCAUUCGCUCCAGCAACAGCUAGCUUCGAUCAAACGUUCGAUCGAGCUGGAGCAGGACAAAUAUCAGAAGCAGCGAGCGUACCACAAGACCCUAUCGAACGACCUGUUCGCUUUGGUGGACUGGUUUAAGGAUAAUGAUGAGCACAUCAAGUCACGUCCACUGUUCGGGCUGGAUCUGAAGAUGGCCGAUCAGCAGCACAGCGCUCACAUUACGCUGGCCGGCAAAGCGAACAUUAAUCUGAAGAUGAUUGAAGAUUUGCUGGCCAAGUUGGCCCACACGGAUAGUAAGCUGCCGGAAGAUCUGCAGGAUAUGGUGGACCGUGCCCGAACACUGCAAGAAACGAUUCCGCAUGAGUUGGUGGCACGCGAAGCGUACCUCACCCAAAACCGUCAGUAUCGUUUGGAGUUCCGCGAUAGUAUGGAUCGCGUUAGGAAGUGGCUCGCGGCAGCGGAGGAACGAUUCGAGCACACGAAAACGUUCAGCUUCGAUCAGGAGAAGAUUACGGUAGCGCUGAAGGAGCUGGAAGAUUUCCUGCACAGUGAGGCGGAGAUCCGCACGUUGCUGUACGGUGGCAUCCAGGAGCAGGCCGACCGGUUGUGGAAUUCGUUGAGUGAAAUGGACCAGAACCAGUGUCUCGGUGAGUUGCAGCAGUUGAAAAAUCGUUUAAGUGACGUGUCGCAUCGGGCCGCGAUUCAGCAGACGGAACUGCUGUCGAACAGUGAUCUAGUGAAAUCGUACAAGAAGCAUUCGGGUGCAGUGAACAAUGUGCUAGUGAAGAGUAAGCUGGACGACACGAUCCUGACCAUCCCGACGCUACCGGCUCGUAUUGAUCACAUCAACGUGUUGCUCAACAUGCUGCAGGUGCAGCAAAACGAGCUCGAUACACUGAACGAACUAUCGCAGCAGAUAGUGAACCGUGCGGAUCAGUACAAUCGGGAUCGGGUGCAGAAGGAAACAGCCGACGCCAACCGCCAGUGGACCAACAACGUCACGCUGUUGGGAAGUUUGCGCGAAAAUCUCGUCCAGCUGCAGCAGCAGUGGGAUCAGCUCGAGAGCAUCCUGCAGGAGCUGGAGGUGAAGUCUAAUCUGCUGCUGGAGAAGGAUCGAGGAUUGGACUUGGUGGUACAUUCACGCGACCAAACCGAAGCCAAGAAGCACAUUGUCGAGAACUUGCUGGAGGACAAGUCUGCCCUUGGUCAGCUGAACACGAAGGCGAACGCACUCGCGAAAACACUCAUAAAAGCCCUACGCGAACAGAAACUUCUGCCACAAUCGUUGGAAGAAAAGCUAACGCAUCUGAACGACAUCAACACACGACUUUCGGACAACCUUUCGCGAAAGGAUCGUCAACUGCGGGAAAUUCUGAGCGAACUGCAGCACUAUCUGGACCAGAUAGGUGAGCUAGCCCAGCGUAUCGAGUCGGUACGCAAGGAUCUGACCCAGAUAAACCCAUUCGACGAGCGGCUCUACCAGACGGAGAAAGCGCUCGGCACGGUACGAGACGCGGCCGAGAAUUGUAGCGUACAGCGGGAAGAUCUUCGUCGGCGCAUUAACGAAAAGUAUCUACCGGCGCAAAAGUUUAUACCGUCGGACCUGAAGGACGGAUUAGAACUGUUGGACCGCUCGCUAACAGGCAUCAACGGUACGAUGGAAGACUAUCAGGGUGCGUACAAGAAGGCGAAAACCAUCCGCACGGACUACUUCACCGUGUACGAUCGUAUCAAGACGUGGAUCGAGAAUGCGGAACUGACCAUUUCGAACCACAGUAUCGAUCCGAGCGAGCUGAAGAGUAAGCUGAUCGUGUUGAUUAACGAGUUCGGCGAUAUGCGGAUGGCACACGACCAGUUGGUUUUCAACGGGAACGAAAUCAUACGCCACUGUACGGAGUCGAGCGAUCGUACCGCGACGAAGGCAAACAUGGAUCAGCUAACGCACGAGCUGGACAAAACGAUUGCGCUGAUCGAGCAGAAGAAUCAAACCGUCGAUCAGAUCCUGGGCAAUUGGGCGAACUUUAUGCGCCUGUACCAGUCCGUGGUGGAUUGGUCGAUCAAAAUACGUGCCUUGCUGGAGCGCAAGCUGCAGCUGAAUACGCUGCACGAGGCACAGCUCGCCUGUCAGAAUUAUUCUAACGCAGUUAGCAGUUUGGCGGACGUAUCACAGAAUUUGAGUGAAAUGAAUCACGAGUUCGAUAAAAUUAACGAAGUUUGCUCGACGGCUUAUCUGAAGGGCAAACUACACGAAGCCGAAACGUUGAAAAUCGACAUCGAAACAGUGUUGUUUGAAAGGAAUCUGUUCCUUCACGAAACGACGGAAGAGUGGCAGCAGUACGAGCGGAAGAUCGAGAGCGUGAAGGAAUGGAUAAAGGACUCAUAUCAGGCCUUGAAUUCGAGUGAGCUCAAGAACAAACCGUUGCGCGAUCAGCUCCGAAUUUUGGAGCAGAUGCUGGCGGACAUUUCGGCUCAGAAGAUCAAGGUCAACAUGUCGCUGGAGAAGCUUCAGGUCCACUUCCAUUCGGACAUCAUCUACACGGAUAAUCCGAACAUCGUACAGUGCGGACGGGCCGUGAUGGGUGACCUCGACAAGCUGAACAUGGACGUGUUCCAGACGACGCAGAAUCUGGACCAGGCCCUGUCCCAGAUCGAGGGCUGCCAGGCGGAAAUGCAAACGAUCCGGCAGCGGAUCGUGCACGAGGAACAGCAGCUCCGGAAUAUCUUAUCACCGUUGCAUCAAUCGAGCGAUAGUGAAAAGCACGAACAGGACCGUUCGAUGCCGUAUGAUUGGAGCGUAGAGUGUUACGAUCAGGAAGCAUGCUCACCAUCGACGACGACGGACGCACGGGAUGCAAAGCGCCCUGCCGACACGCGUUCGGCUGGUGCCGGGAGUGUUGUGGUUGUCACUGCAAACGCCCAGCCAGCGGUGUCCGCGUGGAGUAGAUCGGGCGAUGAUCUUACGUACGCGGAAAUUGUUGCUGGGCUUCGCCGUCAGCGGCAGCGUGGACAUGAUCCACUGCUACACGUGAUCGAACGACAGCACAAUGUUACCAACAUCUCGAUCACGAGUCCAGUACAGCACGAAGCGCAAAGAGGUGGUUCGGACGCUCUACUCGUUCCCAAGAACGCCUCAAUGUCUGCUGUAGAACCUGUAGCCUCUGACACGUACCAAUCAGCUCGUACUGUAGUGCAGCUUACCGGGGCUAACCGACCGACUGUUAACGAACCGAUCGCCCGAGACCCUCCAAAGGAGCAACGUAGAUCCCGUAGACCUCCACCAACUCCCCAACAACCGGCCCACUCCGUUGAUACAACCGAUUCAAUGAACUCCAGCAUCGUUAACGUAACCACGAUUGUUGGUGCUACCUCCACCCAACCGGUCGUAGUAAUGACCUCCGCUAAAGGACCUGAGUUAACGCAAGCCGAAGUAUCGAGUACCGCCCCAGCAGGACCCACGUCCGUGUGGUCCUUUGGCAAUAAGACGUACGCCGAAGUGUUGAAAGAAAUAGCCGCCUCUAAUCAAUAUCGCCUCCAGCAGCAACAACAACUGCAGCAACAGCCAGAAUUUCUCCAACAAUCAUGGAGUGAAAGCAGCUACCACCAGCAGUAUGCCACUGGUGGAAGGCAUCAACAGACCGGAGCAGCAACUGCUACCCGCCUUGGUUUACCUCAAACCUACGCGAACCGUUCCCGUUCGAGCUCAAGAAAUCGUCCCAAGCCGGAAGCCGUAUCGCGUGUAAAUAUUGUACAUAGUGAUUAUCACCAAGUGGCAUCAAGUUCUAGUCAAGUGCAGCAAUCCUCGCAACGUCCUUCUAAGGGCCAACCGAGAUCAGAUUCCGUGAGGAGCAAUGCAUCAUCGUCCGGUGAAAAGAUGACAAAAAGAUCGCCCGAUCAGCAGAGUGUGACCGAUCGUCAAGGUGUACGUGUUGCUACUACUCCAGCUCCUGCUACUCCCGCUGCAACCGUCAAGACAUCCGAAUAUGGCGCAUCCGAACCGAGUGAUCCGACCGAAACCGUCAACUACCGUAAGGCGAAGAAGAGCAAGAUUAAGCAGAUACAAAGCAAGGGCGACAAGUUGUUAACGGCGCAAAUGCCGCAGGAACCGAGUGUGAAGGUGAAAGAAGCGCAGCGGCAAGUGUAUGUGACCGAGAUCAAUGUGAACAAAUCCGAAAACCGCCCAACCAGCCCCCAAUCGAAGAGUCCGAUGAAAACUGUGUCCAUAGUGAAUCUAACCGAUCAGCCCGAAGUGGUUGCCAGUGCAGAGACGAAAAUAACGAUCAAUGUGAACGAACCGGAAUCGGUACAGGCAGUUGCCGUGUCGAAAGAGGUAGAACGCGACCCGGAACACUACGUCACCCAGAUCCGGCUGGAUCAGGACGUCGCGGGUCAGCAGCGCCGUCAGCAAGUUCGUAAAAGUGCCAAAAAGCGUAACAAGACCACCACCACACAUAAGCUGCUGGAUAUUAGCACGAGUGAACCGGUGACGGUGCAAGACGAGCAUGGCAAAAACAUAUCGACCGUUGAGAUCGUUUCACCGAAGGAGAAAAAUGUGUCCGUAGUGGACUUGCGUCCGCUGGAAGAACCGUUGACGGUAACGUCGAUUGAGCUGAAGGGCGCAGAAUCGCUGGAAACGUACAGUAAACAGAUCGAGAACAAGCUUGAUGCUGGAAGUGUGAUGGAGAGUUCGAAGAUUGUUGUCGAAUCAGUGCCGAAACCCGUUGAUGCAGUACCAGAUCCCGUGAUGUUUAGCGAAGAGAUCGUGCAAAUUUCGCAACCAUGUGUAACGAUUGACCGACGUGAAGUUGAGGAGAGCACGGUGCAGCAAACCGAAACAGUGAGCUACCAUCGGUCGGAGGUGUCGUUCACUACCGUGACUGAAACUGUCCAUGAAGAGAUUAAAGUUGAGCGUAAGACAAAUACACGGGAAAGCAGUUCGAAAACGUACACCACAUCGCUACACAUUGAACAGACGAGUGUUGAAGAUUCAAGUGCAGAAAACGUUGCUCCAGCGGUGCCAGAAUCAAACCAGCAAGAUGUCAAGCCAACUGCAGAGAAAGUCACGGAAGAAAGUGAGAUUUGGUGUCCACCAACGAAGAAAAAGGGCAAGAAGAAACAGGCGAAGAAAUGCGACAAGAGAAACGAUGAGCAGCAAGAUGAUUCAACAAACAGUCGUCAGGUUAUUGAGGAAAAGAGAACCGAAUUUGUCCGAUCAAUGCUUACGGAAACCCUCGAUGAGACUAGCCGCCAGGUGUCUGACAGUAAACCGAUCACUGAGCCUACAACGAGUGUCCUGAUCGAACCCGUUGUUGCACCUUUGGCAGAAGAAGUGGCUCUCAUGAGUGCGAGAGAAGAAUCAUUUUUAGCUGAAAUGAGUGGUCCAGUUGAAGAUGCAGCCGGUUCUAAUGUUGCCAAUGUCGAAAUGAAUGUCGUAUCUGAAGUGAACGAUUCUCCAAUGCAAAGACCAGUAUCAAUGGAGGAAAUCGCCCUAAUGAACGCUAGAGAAGAAGCAUUCUUGGCUGAGAUGAGUGAACCGGUUGUUAGGGAAGCAAUAAAACCUGCAACGCAUCAGAAAGAUCCUUCUGCUGAAAUGAGUGAACUAGUCGUAAAAGAAGAAACAGAGCCUGCAUCUCAUCCUUCAGCUGUAAUGCCACUUUCGUCAGAGGAAAUCGCUCUUAUGGCUGCACGAGAAGAAUCAUUUUUGGCCGAGAUGAGUACCUCGGUUGGUGAGCAAGAAACGGAACAACAGUCUCAAGUGAAAGAACCUUCAGUUCAGGUUGAGCUUUCGUCAGAAGAAAUUGCUCUUAUGGCUGCACGAGAAGAAUCAUUUUUGGUUGAAAUGAGUCGCUCAACUUCAAAUGUCGAAGUCGAAUCGAAAUGGACAAGCACCACGCCUGUUGCAGUUGAACCUUCGGCUGAAGAAAUAGCUCUUAUGAACGCUAGAGAUGAAGCUUUCCUGGCUGAGAUGAGUGUUCCAGCAUCGAUUAACGAGUCGAAAGAUAAGUCGGAAACACCUUCAGCAGAGGAAAUAGCACUGGUGAAUGCUAGAGAAGAAGCGUUCCUGGCUGAGAAGAGUGGACCAGCAACGAUAAUCGAGCCAGAAGUUAAGCUGGAAGUAAAACCAGAUUCUGAUUCCUUGGCACCUUCAGCAGAAGAAAUAGAACGGAUGAAUGCUAGAGAAGAAGCGUUCCUGGCUGAGAUGAGUGUUUCAGCAUCGAUUAACGAGUCGAAAGAAAAGUCGGAAACACCUUCAGCAGAGGAAAUAGCACUUACGAAUGCUAGGGAAGAAACGUUCUUGGUUGAGAUGAGUGUUCCAGCACCGAUUCACGAGUCGAAAGUUAAGUUGGAAACACCUUCAGCAGAAGAAGAAGCACUGAUGAAUGCUAGGGAAGAAGCGUUCCUGGCUGAGAUGAGUGGACCAGCAUCGAUUCACGAGUCGGAAGUUAAGUUGGAAACACCUUCAGCAGAAGAAGUCGCACUGAUGAAUGCUAGGGAAGAAGCGUUCCUCGCUGAGAUGAGUGUACAAAUUUCCACCGUAGAAAUGAACACUGAAACGAAAACUACCAUCGUUCCCGUACAAAUCGAACCAUCAAUCGAAGAAAUAGCCUUGAUGAAUGCAAGAGAAGAAGCUUUCCUAGCCGAGAUAAGUGGUCCAUCUUCUAAUGUUGACUUAGAAUCUGCAUUGACACCUUCCGCAGAGGAAAUAACCCUGAUGACUGCAAGAGAAGAAUCAUUUUUGGCUGAGAUGAGUGCACCAGAAUCCAAUGAACUGUUGGUCGAAUCGAAGGCCGAUCUAGAUCUGGAUACACCUUCAGCAGAGGAAAAUGCUUUAAUGAUCGCACGAGAAGAAUCUUGCUUACCAGAAGAGAUGAGUGACUCAAAACCAGUUGAUAAACCGGAUUCUAUUUCCGUUGAAAUUUCCGCCGAAGAAGUAGCGCUCAUGAGUGCGAGAGAAGAAUCAUUUUUGGCUGAUGUGAGCGUAGCAAUAAAGCCUAGCUCAGUGAAGGGUGUGAAUGCCGAAGAGUUGGUGGAACAAGCGAAUACUGGGCACUCAGCACCAUUGACCGACGAUCGCGCCCCAUCAAAACAAAUCGAAACAACAAACACUGGCAAAGCAUCUGUUACAACGGUUUCCCCCACAAGCACAAAACACGCCGAUACUGUGAUGACCAGCGCAACCGCAAAGAGUCCAAAGAAAAAGCAAAAAGAUAAGUUCAAGAAGAUUAAGAAAUCAGAUGCCGCAAACAUGGCCGCGUUUCUUGAAGCGGAACGGAAAGUGUUCGAGGCAGAAGAGGAGGCAGCACAGCAUAAAGCACCGGCACCAGCGGCAGACCCACGCGCACGUGAUCAAACAUCGCCGGGUAUGAGCUCCACGAUCACCAAGGAACAGAUUGAAACAAUCAUUGUGGGCAUUAACUUUGAUCGUCAAAAAUCCCUUACCGGUGCAAACGAUUCGGAAGCGCAUGUCGGUGAGGCGAGUGCAGUUUCGCCCGAAGAAACGUUCGUCGUAAAUAUGCCCGAAAGUCCGGUGAAGAGUGUGCAAGAGUUCCGAAGCAAUUUGGUGUUUGAGGAUUACGAUUUUAUGCAGCAAUCGCCGGUGAAACGAGCUGCGGAAACACUCGACAGUAAAGGCGGACGUUCAAAGGAAGUUAAGUUUAAGCCACAGCUGGAAACCAUUCCUUCGGAUGCGGAUCUGUUGGGCAAAGGUGAUGGUCGUGACCAUUCUGCAAAGGGUGUCGAGUCCACCGUGUCCAGUACGGCAAACAGCAAUAUGAAUACGUCAGAGUCCGUAGACUCCAGCAAGCAAGAAACUAUCGACGUUGAUGCUGGCAAGGAAAACAAUGAUCCCGUGCAAAGAAUUGUGAUCAACUCCAAGUGGCGCGACAAUCGACAGAAGAUCUCGAUGAUAACACACGAAGAAGUGUUGCUGCAACCGGUGUCACACAUUAAAAUGCAGCUUCCCAAAAUCUUGGCAGCAAAGGUGGAGAAAGUGGAGGUACCGGAAGUAAGGCCAGACGUGGUUCCGUUGGAACCGAUCGUGCAAGAAACACCGAAAGAAGAAUUCGUUGGCGUUGAUGAUGAGCUAGUGCAUGAAGAGCUGCAGGUCGGGCAGGUUGCUACCGAAGUCUCGAUGUUGGACAUUUCACCCUCGAUCGUGUACGAAACACAAUCGGUGGAUGUGCUGGAGAAAGAAGCAUCACUACCGGAGGGUACCGAUCUCGAGUCGGGAAUGGUGGUGGCUACGGAGGCUAAACAAUCGGAUAUGGUCUCCGGUACGGUCACUUUUGCUGAGCAGCAAUCUUCCAGUCAGGAAGUGUACACAACCACUACAACCUCCGUAAUGUACCGUACGACAACGAUCACGUACAUGCAAACGGACGAGCAGGAGGAAAUCAAUGAGAUCUACACAAGCCCUACGGUUGUUGAGCAGAGCGUGAAAACGGUCGUCACUCGGGAUGAUCCCACGCUAAACGUAUCGGUGUCCUACUCGGAAGCGGACCGAAGCAUGGGAGAUGAAGUGAUGGUGGAACGGAUCGUGAUCGAAAGAGGCGACGAUGAAGCGGGCACUGUAAUUGAGACUGUGCCAAGUGAAACUGAACCCGAUGGAAGUGGAAUGGAAUUGAAACAAUCGCUGCUAGAUAGUUCAGUGGUUUCGGAGGCGGAUCGUAGUAUGGGAGAGGAAAUGAUCGAAACAAAGACAAUGAUCGUAUUGGAAGAAAGUGAAUGUGAUGAGGAACGGGUAGUGCGAGAGAUGUGUGAAGAAUCGUACCGACAGGAUGCGUCAUUUGAAGUGGCAAAACAAACUGACUCGCUAGAACUAGCAACGGCCGGUACAGCGGAAGGCACCAGCGAACCAGUACUGGGUAGUCCGCUUGAGACGGAAUCUUCUAGUGGCCAGGAUUAUUGGCAAUACCAUGAUACUGAGCGACAUUACAUUCAGAACUUUGAAGUGCAAUCGUACGAUAAGGAACAAGAGAACACGCAGCUUUUGGAGAACACAGUUAAGCAAUCCUCCGCAGCGGAAGUGGUUGAAGAAAUUGAAACUGACCAAUCGAGGGUAAAAAGUUCUCCGUCAGAUUUGAAGGAUAGUUCUAUUGCAAGUAACAAAAGUGAUAAGGAACUGGCUGAAAUCUAUCGUACUCUGGAACAGUCCUACUUGAGCAUGUGGCAGUUACGUGAUGCUGAGAAUAACUAUCAGAAGCUAGAUGCUAGGGAGACAAAACAGAAUCUUGAGGACAGUGGGAGCGAACCUACGGUUACGUCUGAUACACCAGACGAAAUGCAAGGUACUGGAGAACCUAUUCCGCAACAAACGUUGGAACCAUCGGGCACUAUUGAAAGCCAACUGGAAGUUUUGAAGAGCUUGGGAAGAUCGUUGGUCAAUAACUGGCAAUUGAGAGAGGCAGAAGAGCGUUACGAAAAACUCAGAAGUCGAGAAGUGAUAAAGGAUUCUGAGACUACUCGUGUGACUGAUUUAGAUGAACCGGUUGAAGAAACUAUCGUACAGUUGCCUUCAACUGAAGUAAGCACCGUUGCCAUUGAGCUUUCACGUGACGAAUCAGUAGCUCCAGAUGCGUCACAAUGUGUGGCAGAACCUUCAGGACAACCGCAGAGAUCGAGGGAAGAAGAUUUGAAAAACGCACUAUACUACGCUUCGGUUUCUACCUGUGACACUCUGUCACUGCGUGAUGGAGAAAAGCGAUAUGCUUUGCAAAGACAAGUUGAUAGAAACAGUACCGAAUCAGAUGAUAAUGCUGUGGCCAGUUCCAAUUUGACCGAACAGGUAGCUGAUUUCGAACCAUCUGUAUCUGAGGCUGUUGUAGAAAAGUCCGUAGUAUCUGGUAAAGUUUUGGAAGAAGCUUUCCCAGAUAGCGAAGAACAGGAGCUUUUAAGGCUUUCAGCUAUGUCAAAGGCCGAAGCUGUAGAAACAAUCGUAUCUGAGGCUACUGUUGAAGAAGUGAUUGUAUCUGACAAGUCUUUGGAAGAAGUUCCUUCUGUUGAUAGUGAAGAACAGGAGCUUUUGAAGCUCUCAGCUAAGUCGAAGGCCGAAGAUCUGGAACCAGUUGUGGUUGAAACUACUGUAGAAGAAAUGAUAGUAUCUGACAAGCCUUUGGAAGAAGUUCCUUGUCUAGACAGCGAAGAACAAGAGCUUUUGAAGCUCUCUUCCAUGUCGAAGGCCGAAGAUCUAAAACCAGUUGUGUCUGAGAUUACCGUAGAAGAAGUGGUUGUAUCUGACAAGCCUUUGGAAGAAGUUCCUUCUGUUGAUAGUGAAGAAAAGGAGCUUUUGAAACUCUCUGCUAUGUCCAAGGCCCAAGAUCUAGUACGAGUUGUGUCUGAAACUACUGUUGAAGAAGUGGUUUUAGCCGACAGCGAAGAACAAGAGUUGUUGAAGCUCUCUGCCAUGUCGAAGUCCGAAGAUCUAGAACCAGUUGUGUCUGAAACGACUGUAGAAGAAGAAGAUGUUUUCGUCAAGGCAUUGGAAGCUAAAUCAAGAGAGGAAGAGUUGAAAAAGGCUCUGCAUUAUGCUUCAGUAACUUUCUGUGACAUAUUGGCCCUACGUGAUGGGGAAAGGAAAUUUGUUUUGCAAAAGCAAAUCGAUAGUUUCAGAACAAAACCUGAUGAUACUAUUGUGGAAGAAGUGGUUGUAUCUGACAAGCCUUUGGAAGAAAUUUCUUGUCCAGAUAGUGAAGAACAGGAGCUGGUGAGGCUUUCAGCAGUGUCGAAGGCCGAAGCGCUAGAACCAAUUGUAACCGAAACUACUGUAGAAAAAGUGGUUGUAUUCGACAAGGCAUUGGAAGUUAAAUCAAGAGAAGAAGACUUGAAAAAGGCAUUGUAUUAUGCUUCAGUUACUUCCCAUGAUACAUUGUUCUUACGUGAUGGGGAAAGGAAAUUUGUUUUGCAAAAACAAGUUGAUAGCAACAGAACAAAACCAGUUGAUGCUACUACGGAAGAGGCGGUAGUAUCUGAAAAACUAUUGGAAGAAGUUUCUUGUCCAAACAGUGAAGAACAGGAGCUAUUGAAACUCUCUGCUGCGUCAAAGGCUGAAGAUAUGGAACCAGUUGUGUCUGUGACUACUGAAGAAGAAGAGAUUGUAUCUGACAAGCCUCUGGAAGAAGUUCCUUCUGUUGAUAGCGAAGAACAGGAGCUUUUGAAGCUCUCUGCCAUGUCGAAGGACGAAGAUCUAGAACCAGUUGUGUCUGAGACUACUGCAGAAGAAGUGAUUGUAUCUGACAAGCCUUUGGAAGAAGUUCCUUGCUUAGACAGCGAAGAACAAGAGUUGUUGAAGCUCUCAGCUAUUUCCAAGGCCGAAGAUCUGGAACCAGUUAUGGCUGAGACUACUGUAGAGGAAGUGAUAGUAUCUGACAAGCCUUUGGAAGAAGUUCCGUGUUUAGACAGCGAAGAACAAGAGUUGUUGAAGCUCUCUGCCAUGUCGAAGGCCGAAGAUCUGGAACCAGUUGAGGUUGAAACUACUGUAGAAGAAGUGGGUGUAUCUGACAAGCCUUUGGAAGAAGUUCCUUCUGUUGAUAGCGAAGAACAGGAGCUUUUGAAGCUCUCAGCAACAUCGAAGGCCGAAGACCUAGAACCAGUUGUGGUUGAAACUACUGUAGAAGAAGUGAUAGUAUCUGACAAGCCUUUGGAAGAAGUUCCUGGUCUAGACAGCGAAGAACAAGAGCUUUUGAAGCUCUCUGCCAUUUCGAAGGCCGAAGAUCUAGAACCAGUUGUGUCUGAGACUAUUGUAGAAGAAGUGCUAGUAUCUGACAAGCCUUUGGAAGAAGUUCCUAAUCUAGACAGCGAAGAACAAGAGCUUUUGAAGCUCUCUGCCAUGUCGAAGGCCGAAGAUCUAGAACCAGUUGUGUCUGAGGCUACUGUAGAAGAAGUGGUUGUAUCUGACAAGCCUUUGGAAGAAGUUCUGUGUUUAGACAGCGAAGAACAAGAGUUGUUGAAGCUCUCAGCAACAUCGAAGGCCGAAGAUCUAGAACCAGUUGUGGUUGAAACUACUGCAGAAGAAGUGAUAGUAUCUGACAAGCCUUUGGAAGAAGUUCCUGGUCUAGACAGCGAAGAACAAGAGUUGUUGAAGCUUUCUGCCAUGUCGAAGGCCGAAGAUCUAGAACCAGUUGUGCCUGAGACUAUUGUAGAAGAAGUGCUAGUAUCUGACAAGCCUUUGGAAGAAGUUCCUAAUCUAGACAGCAAAGAACAAGAGCUUUUGAAGCUCUCUGCCAUGUCGAAGGCCGAAGAUCUAGAACCAGUUAUGUCUGAGACUACUGUAGAAGAAGUGGUUGUAUCUGACAAGCCUUUGGAAGAAGUUCUUGGUUUAGACAGCGAAGAACAAGAGCUUUUGAAGCUCUCUUCCAUGUCGAAGGCCGAAGAUCUAGAGCGAGUUGUGUCUGAAACGACUGAAGAAGAAGUGAUAGUAUCUGGCAAGCAUUUGGAAGUAGUUCCUUCUCUAGACACCGAAGAACAGGAGCGCAUGAGGCUUUCAGCUCUGUCAAAGACAGGUGCUUUCGAAAAUCAAAAACCCUCUAACAGAAUGACUUCUGAAAGGAAUACUCAAGAACAGGAGGCCAUUGCUGCAGUAACCACCGUGGAAGUUGUAGAACAAAUGGAAUCAUCGCUACCAUCCGAGAAUGUACAACAGUUUGUGAUAGAGUUGUCGGUGGCUGAAACUAAAGAAUCUGUUCUGCAUGCGGAUGCAGGCGACGAAUCGCUUAGCGAGAGUGCGGAUCUAUCAAAGUCAAGUGCAUUUGAUUCUAGCAUGGCUUCGGUGAUUAGUAAACCGGAAAUCUCCUUCAUCAGUUUACCGCUAGAAAAGAAUGUAGCAACUGAAGACGUGGAGCUGAUGGUUUCUAGCAUUGAAUCGAAUGAAGGUGUUGUGGAUACAACCAUCUCGCCAGUCCAAGAAGCUGGAGAAAUUGUGGUAGAAGGAAAGUUGCUUGUUCAAGUAAAUAUACCCCACAAGGCUGCAGAAGAACAAGCCGCUUUGGAACGAAAAGAAAAGCGUAAAAAGGAAAAGAAGCAAGCGAAAAAGUCUAAACAGUUAACGCAAGAAUCGGGAGUUUCGAAGGAGGUAACUGUCACGAAUGUUACCGAAACGGUUAAACCAAAGUCCGAGCCAGAAACACCAAUAUCGAACGUAUGGGAACAAAUGAAGGGCAAGAAAACGUAUGCUGAGGUAGUGGCAGGCCAGGAAGCGGAACGUCGAAGACUUCUGGAAUUGCAAAUGAAGAAACAGUUGCCUUCCGAUGGGCCGGUAGGAGAAGGAAUGAAAGUUGUACUGCCAAGCGAGGCUUCAACAGACAAGGCGAUGUCUCGUAACGAGAGUUUUGUUGAAGUUGAGCUCAGUAGCGAAACAGACCUUCAGACCUUUAUUGAAAGCAACAAAAACUAUGGAAGCAUGGCAAAAUCGACCACUUCUUGGGCUGAUAUAGUCGAUGAAGAUGAUAACUCGGCUUCCAGCAAUGCACCCACUAGUCCUUCAGAACAGUCAAUAGGCAAGACUGAACCAUCGGUUGAGUUGAUGGAAUCAGCUCCCAUUCCUAUGGAGAAACCGCAGGUAGCAGAACCGGACAAUAAGAAUGUUACCGCUAAGCGUGAAAAGAAACAAAAGAAAAAGCAAAAAAAACAGGUUACAGAGCAAGUCGUAAAACAAGCUCUAGGUACGUCCCAAUCCUCAGAGUUACCGCAAGAGGUGGAGACAAGCAUAUCUGCUGCGGAGACAACUAUUUGGCAAACUGGUCCACUUUACGCUGAAGUUGUGGCUCAAAAUUUGAAACGAGAGAGAGAGGCUUUAUCUCUUACCUCCUCAGCUGAACCUCAGGAAGUUGUUACAGAAAUUGUGCCGGAUGUAGAAUCUUCUGCAAGCAAUGUACCUGUCGUUGACGCACCAUCGCAGGUUCUUCCAUCUCUUCCAACCACAUCCACACCACAAGAAAAACCGGGCACAUCGGGUUCUGUCUCUGUGAACGUAGAUGAUACUCCCAAACAAAGUUCCAAAAAGGUUAAAAAAGCAAAACUUACUCCAAAUCAACCAGAGGACGCUCAGAGCGAAUCGAUAGUCGAAAGUGUCGUAAAGACGACUACCACUGUACUUGUUGAGGAGAGUGCCACAGAUGAUACUGAAUCAGAAUCGUUGAAGGCGCCUGCUAAGGAAGACGUACAGCCUCAGGUCGAUGAUACUUCAAGAGCGAAGAAAUCAAAGAAAAAGCAGAAGAAAAAGCCUUUGAAACAUGCAUCUAGCGAUGAGUCUGCUGAUGCUGAGAUAGAUAGCAAACCAACCGUAAAGCCAGCUGUAGCAGUGCCCCUGUCUGAGUCUCCCAAAGAAAUUGCCCAUCUUCUUGAACAUGUGCACGAGAAUGUGGAACUCGUUGAGGCCACAGAGAAUGAGGUAACGCCAUCGGAUGUGGAUCACGAGAAGCAUGUGAAAUUUUCGGUCGAAGUCGAAAUUCUGAAGGAGGUUCCAUUGUCAGAAUCUCCCAAAGAAAUCGAACACCUGCUGGACCAUCAUGCUCACAAACCUUCUCCAUUAGUGGAGCGGGAGGACGUAGCUCCUGUUGUGCACGCGGAUGAUGCUCACAAGCAUGUGCAAUUCGUUGAUGAGAUAUCGGUAGUACCAACGGUGCCGCUCUCAGAAUCAGUAAAGGAGUUAGAACGCUUGAACAGCACAACAAAAAGCGUUGAAAAACAGCAAGAACCGCAGCAAGAGACAUUGGAAAAUGAAACCGGAGAAGAUAGCACUGAGAGAAGGGUUAAGUUUGAUCAACAAGUAGAGAUACUACCCACAGUACCAUUCUCGGAAUCAAGCAAGGAAAUAGAGAAAGAUCUAUGCUUAGGAAAGGAUGGGGCUAAUACACUUUCUGAACUAGCCAGCACUACUGUUCGAGAAGCUAACCUGAUGAAAAUAGAACUAGUUGAGUUGGUCGGUAGUCCAAACCCGAUAGUCUCGGAUGAUGACAAACGGGUGAAGUUUGAUCCGAUGGUGGAAGUGCUGCACAACGUACCUUUCUCGGAAUCGGCUAAGGAGACAGCAAGUAUUGGGACAGAAAAGCAAGACCAGACACAGCAAGAACCCUCAACGGUAGCAAGUCCUGAAGAUUCUCCCCAACCUGAAAGACGCGUUUCGUUCUCGGAGACUGUAGUCAAGAUAGAGCUCGAACAUGAUGAUGAUGAAGAUGGCUUUGAAGUGAUUGACAUGGCAGAAGUUGAAGAAGUAGCGAGCGUUGCUCCUGAAGUUUUAGAAAGUCAGGAGGAACUGUCUCAAGACCUUAAACCUCAAUAUGAUAGUUCUGUUCCGAUGGCUGCAGAGCGAAAAGAGAUUGAAAAGGAAAUUACGUCGGAAGAACUGUUGACUGAAGAACCCAAACCCCAAGAUAUCAGCUCUGCUGCAAUGGUUAUUAUACCAAAGGUGGCUGAAGAUACUGAUGUUUCGGAACGUUUGGAACCUCAGAAGGAAUUAUUGUCCCAAGAUCCUCAAGACUCUCAAGAUAUCAGUAGCGUCCCGAUGGUUGCAAUGACAAAGGAAGUAGAAAAGAAUGUGUCAAAGAAAAAGAAAUCGAAGAAAAAGUCAAAACAAGUUGAUAGGAAAACUCCUUCACUGGAAGUUUCCGAAUCGGAGAGCACUCCAGUCAUGUCCGAGGUGGAUGUAGUGUCGCAGAGUCCUGCGGCUGGUCUUCUAUACGCGGAAGUAGUCGCUCAGAAGCCGGAAAAGGAUGAACAUAGCACGCUGAAAGCUCAGAUCACAGAUUGUGACACGGAAACGAUCGUUCGCGAAGAGUACGUAGUUGUGCAAGAAAUUUCUAUCACUCAGCAACCUGAUUCGCGUGAACCAGAAGUAGCGCAAAGCGUGGAAGCCGACGUGGUAAUCAGGUCAGAGCCAGGUCCUUCCGAGUCUGGCGAAGGAAUGGAUGUUUUCGUUGAACAAAAAAUUGUUUUACCCAAAGUGGAACAGUUGGCCCAUGAACCCUUAACGAGCCAGACCGACCGCGAGAAAGAGGUUAGGGAAAGCGAUCUUCAGUUUGUUUUGCCACCAAUCAAGACGAGUGAUGAUUCGGCAAUUAUGACCGAACAAGUCGUACCAUUGGAGAAGGUUUCGGUAGAAAGUGAUACGAUGGAACAGCACUCGACAGACAACGCUGAUGAUCCUUUGCAAGGGCUCUACUGCAUUUGGCAGGAUAGAUCUUGGCUUGAUCGUUCAUUAUACGGGCAAGCAGAGGAACGGUAUGCGGCCAUGUCGAAUGCUCGCAUUGCCAUCAGCCAACAGCAAGAUGUCGUAGAAACAGGAGUUCCUAGCGACUGCAACACACACGAACCACUAGCAUCAACAGUAACAGCUGCUGGCACUGCAGCGACUAACAAUGUACUAACACCAAUGCCUCACAUCCCUUGCGAAGAGUUAUCCUUGCAGCAAACUGUGGCCAGUGCGAGCGAUGUACCCACGAUCCCAUCCAUCCCAUCCGUACCCGACUCCGCACCUACUCCUCCCAUCCUUGACAAUCCCGACCAGCCUUCCCCAUCCUUCGAUCCUUCACUAGGUUCAACGGACAGCGUAGAAUUAAGUAAACAAAAUGUGGCUGAAUGCACAGACAGUAAACAGGCACUAGCGCAAAGUGUGGAAAGUAUUCUGGACUCGCUGAUCAGUGCGGAACUAGAGAUGAACAAUCUGCCGUACGACAACGUGAACGAUCUCAUCAAGGGUCUUCAGGUCCUUAUAACGAACUUAGCGGAGUAUAAGCGACAAAACUAUGCUAUCGCGAGAUCCCUGCCGUCGAAUGCGGACGCCCAUGUGCGGACAGCGGUUGCACAGAUCGAUGAACGAAUAGACCUAUUACGGCAACGAGCCGAAAAUGGCCUCGAAAAAAUUCAGCAAACAUUAAAGCAACGAGAACAGCGUAAGGCGGAAGUUCGAAACUAUCUUGAGCUGUUGGAGGAAAUCGAAACAUGGCUCUCAAGCACCAGCAUACACCUGAUGGAGGUGACCGAAUGCAGCACGGAGGAAGAAAUGCAACGGCGAAUGGCGGAGGAGACUGCAGUCCUAAACGAUUUACGCGAAAAGGAACAAUAUCUGAAGGAUGUGCUAGACAAGACCGCGUCGUACCUUGUGUACAAAGAUGUAACCGAUCGUACGACGACGCUACGGGAGAACUUGACGGUGUUGAUACGUAUUCUGCGCGAGAAGGCUUUAAUCUUGGAGAACAAUAUUCAGCGGCUUACCGAACAUUUGCACCCGGUCGAACAGCCGAUCCAACCGCAAACGGUUGACAUCGAAAGUCAAACAAGUCCGCUAACAUCAAUCGAACCGGUGCCGACGCUGGACAUAGUGAAGAGUGAAGUGCAAAUUCCUGUUGCGGAAGUGAUCACUCAAGAAUCCUCCGUUCAGACACAUGCCACCCCGGCACAGCACACUACCGACAAUAUACUGAUCAUUCAGUCGGUGGUUAAUGGACGUGAAACGGUACAGAUCUCCAACGUACCACGAUCGAUCGGAAUAGCCGAUCAGCAGCUGGACGAAUCCGUUGUGGUUGAGGCAAAGUACACACAGCCGGCAGAAGGACGCGAGAGUGACCGUUCCUCGGAGCUGUUGGUGAGGAAUAUCCCGACACAGUUCGAAACCACAUUUACCGAACCGGACGAUACGACCACGGAGAUUGUGGUGAAUCGGGACGGAUCGAAGAAGAUAACACUCCGAAAGGUGGUCCAAACGGCGCAAUCCAUCGAGUCGACGACCACCGGUAAGGCAUCGAUCGUUACCUCGCUAGAUCUGACAGAGCAACAGCCGACCGAACCACGGGCAAUCACCGCCGAAGAGGACGUAGUUGUGGAAGUGGAAGGCGUUGACGUAGUGCUGGAAGAAAGUGGCGGAGAAAAGGAUGAAGCGAUAGAAGCUAGUAGUACCUCACCACCGCUAACGGCCAGUGUGUCUCCACCGCAACCGGUGCAGGAAGCAGCACAGACAAUUGUGGCCGAGGUACUGGAAGUGCUGGAGCAGACGCUGCAAACGACCGAUGAUGAGCAGGCUGCUGCUGUACAGCAGCCGGAAGAACCGCCACAGGUAUUCGAAUCACACGCUCAAAUCGCACCCGUAGAGUUGAUUGCUUCUAUCGUUGAGUCACAAACUAGUACUAGUACACUAUUAGGCGCUGACGCUGCAGUUGUUGCCGCUCCAACCGAAGUUGCUGUUGCAAUCGAUUUCUUAAGCCUUACCGAACCACUUACAGCUGGCGGGGAAUUAAGGGAACCGGUCGAGCAAAGGCCGGUCGUAUCGAUUGAAGACAUCUGGCCACCGUCGGAACAUGUGUGUAGUAGUAGUACAGGUGCGGAAAGAACGAUUCCGAUGUCACCGGUGCAUGAAGUGGUGAGUGCAGUAGGGGAACAACCGGUAAAUCGACAAGAAAGCGAAGAGGCACAGAAACUAUGGCCAACGAGUCCGGAACGCGGUUCAGACUACAUCCAAAUAGAGCCGAAUGUUAUGAAAGCGGAUGAGCGAGAUGCUGGCUUAGAAACGGUUGUCCCGAUAGUAAUGGAAGAUGCGCCACAGGAACAUGUAGCAGUCGAUCGAGAUCAGGAGAUUGAGGUUCCUAUCGUGCUUGAAGGGGCAGUCAGUGUUGUGAGUGUACCUGUGACGACGAGUGAAUCUAUCGAGGUGCCGGUAGAAAUCGUUCAACCAGAGAUGAAUAUUCCAGCAUCAGAACCGGUGUGCCUUGAGGAAACAACUGUCACCAAGAUGGCCGAUGAAAGUACACAACAAAUUGCACCAAUUGAAACGGAAAGAAGUGCUGUUGCUGCUGUUUCAACAAGUGAACCAACGCUAGAAGUUAUUGAAACUAGCACUCUACGAUCCGAACCUGUGGUAGAAACUACGAUCACACGUACCACCGAUACAAUCGAAGACUCAGACAGUUGUACAACAAUAGUGGAGACUGUGCUGAUCACUAAAACAACAACAACGGAAGAAGUAAUCGAGGUUCCGAUGGAGGUGGAGCAGAUUGAAGGCGCGGCGGACGACGAUGAUGGUCAGCCCGAAGAAACGGUAGUGAUCGAAAAGGUGACACAUGUGACUACGAUUGUGGAACGCGUUAUUGUAGAAGGUGACGCAGAAGCACCUAAAGAAGGUCCCACGAUAGAGGAACUCCCAAGUGAACCGUUCACUGACACGAUGUUAGUGAAGCAAGACCCCGAACCGGUGAUAAGUGCCAUCGAUGAUGAAAAGAAUCUACAGGUGCAGGUUGCAUCGAUCGGUGACACACAGAGCUCUUCGCUCAAGGUCUCGAUGACGGUGGAUCCAGCCGAAACGAAGAAGAUAAGCGUGAGUUUGAUCGAGAUAAAAUCGACCGAAGUCGCAUCGAUUGACGAUAACAAACUGCAAACUGCUGAUGCACCAGAAUCGGUUGAGUUUGCCGAAAUUUCGGGCCUGAAGGCUGUUGACGUUGAUCCAGGGUAUGAGGCGGAUAAAACGGCCACCGCUGAGGGUGAACCGGACGAUGACGACAAGGGCAAGAAGAAGCGCAAGAAGAAAAAGAAGGGAAAGCUCGAAAACGAAAAGGCUAGCAAUACUGAUCAACCGGCCGGAGGAAUACCUGAGGGAGGCAAACCGAUGCGUACCGAUGGUCGUUUGUCUGAGGCACAAGAGUCGGAGCAACGGUUUGACUCUUAUCAAAGCUUUACCGAGGAUGAUCAACCCCAGGUCAGCACAGUUAACGUUAUGGAAGAAGCCGUCGAACCGGAGAUGAUUGAAGUUCCGAUAACAAUUCAGGAGAAGAUCGUUGUGCCUACGGAGGUGAUGGAAGCGAUCUAUACGGAAGAUGUGCAGCAGCAAACGACACCGAUCGAGCUGGCAUCGUCCCAGCAGGAUCCAACCGAUGUGGAAAUUGAGAAGAUCACAUCCGAGCGAUUGAUGGUACCGAUCGAUUCGGAGCAAAGAUCAAUGCAGACAUCUCCCGAGCCGGAGAUUCAGCGCACUUCCCAACAAACCUCUCCGUUGAUAGUGGAGGAGGAACCGACGGUCACCGAGCAAGAGACGAAAGAGAUACAGACAACAGUUGUGGAAGCAAUCGAAAUUGAGACGCAAACCUUGCAACCAUUGGAAUUGGUCCAACAGGAAGCACAAACGGACCUACCGGUGGAAGACGAAUCGAGCGUUGUUGGUCGCGGUCCGAUCGAUACAGUCGAUACGGCAAACCAAACCGUCCCAGUUGAAACGAAAGAAACACAACAGCAGGCUGAAAGUACGGAAGAGAUCGUGGGUCCCAUACUAGGGCAGAUAGUGAAGGAUGUGAUUGAUCCGGAAACGUUGUUCAAGCGUCAAUCUGCGCAAACUAGUCCGGUGCAGUUUGCCGAGCACGCGAUUACGUCGGAACCGAGCGGAGAAGUUGAGAGGGCGGAUGAAAGCGCCCAAACAAGCUUCCCCGAUGUACAGGAUGCGAAUGUCGCUACGGAUGCUGUGCAGGUCGAGGACCGUGGAAACUCUCCGUCUGCAGAACUAUCCGAGAUGGGAGAUGAGAAACCAUCCAUUGCACAGCCUGUUCUAACUUCGGAAUCAUCCAUGCAAACGAGCCCCAUGCACGCUGUGGAGACAGAGCCGGUUGUAACUCCGAAGUACGAAAUACAGGACGAAAUCCUGAUACAGACGGUCGCCCAAAGUGCGCCGACAUUGGAGAGCGUAGAUAUGCAAACGGUUGUAGUACCAACAACGGAAUCUGAUGCUCAAACUACCCCCGUAGCAGUAACGGAGAUUACCGAGACUGUGACUAUCAGUACGCAAACGAAGCAAGAGCAAACUCCUGUAAAGGCAGAUGACGAAGAGAAACCUUUACCACCGGCGGAGAAAGAAAGCAGCAAACGAUCCAAGUCGAAGAAAGCAAAGAAAUCGAAGGACAAAUCGAUCCCGAUCGAGGUGGAAGUGAGUACGCAGAUGAUGGUGCCGAGCACGAGUGCCGUCGGUGGUGUACCGUUGCCAGGAUCGAGCGGAAACGAAUCAGUAACCGUAACGAAAACCAUCAUCACCGACGGCAAAGGUCCAGACGGCCAGGGAGAUGUCAGCUUGAACAUACAGGUCAACAUUGAUCCAUCGUUUGGAACGGUUGAAGAACGUACCACAUCGUCCUCGUUCCAACCGGAGCAACCGGUAACAACUGUCAGUUGCCCCAUCAACGAAUCACUAGACAGUCUGCAGAGUCAAAAUCUGCAGCUAAGCUUAUCCGAUUGCUUCUCGAUCAUCAAGUCACAGCAAAACUAUGCCGAAAACCGGGUGAUACCGUGGCAGGACAUUAAUGAAAUGUUUGUCCACAUGAAACUUCCGUCACUGGCUGCGUCGGCUGCUGCUGCUGCUGCUGAAGAGGCUCAGAUUCCCCAACGGAGCAAUGAGUAUCACAUUUUGAGCACUUCUUCGAGUCUUCUGGAGGAAGAGGAUGAGGCAGCUGCAAAUGAUGAUCUGGAACAGAUUCUACAGUUGCUACAGAAGAACGACAACGAUCCGAUUGCGCAGCAACACUUACUGUUGGAUGUGGUGGAAACUGUGGUCAAAUCUUUGGAAGAUCUCGACGAGGGAAUGAGCGUAGCGCAGGCAAACGUGGACGACGGACAGAGCGUGGAUCGUGCGAAACUGCUCCGUGUGUACAAGAUUCGGUUGAUACGCAUCGAAGAGCAUAUCGUGAAAAUCAUAACGUACGUGCAACGCUCCAAGACCGUACAGAAUAAGGAGGUGGAUGAGUGUCUGAAUCAUUUGCUGCGCCAGGUGAAGGCUUUGGAGCAAAGUGUCGCACAGGGAGAGCAGACGAUCGAUGUCCAUGCCACCCAAAGGCGUAAGAUUGGCGAUGACGUACGUAACGUGGGCAAAGCGGUUGAAAUGUUGGAGAGUUCCUACAACGAUGUUAUUGCGAACGACACGAUGCCCAUUAGCGGUAAACUUGGCGUCAUACAAGAACUUCAAACGAACUGUCAAAAUCUGCUGUCUGCGGCGAAGCUGUUCAACAAUGGCGAGGUGAAAUUGGAAGAUAAAACGGAACUCGAGUUGGAUCAAAUCACCCACCAGAUGCGUCGAUUGGAGAAUGGACUUGUGCUGGAGCGUAACAAGCUGAUACAGCUGUGCAGUCUUGCGGACGAGUACGAACAAACGUUGCUAGAGUUCCAGGAGAUAACGGCAACGGCGGAAGUGUUUAUCGAAAACGAAAUUGUGACCAACUCGCUAGAAGAGCUGCAGGAGGAGAUGCAACGGUAUCGCAAGUUCUUCGUCAACUUGAACCACUGCAAGGCGAUUCUGGAAUCGCUGGAAACCAAUCUCGAUCCGCUGACUCGCCAAAAGUACGCUGAGCUGCACUCUUCCCUCUACAACCGCACGAAGGUAAUACUGGAGCGGGCGGUUGAUCGGGCCGGAAAGCUUGCCCUUGCGGCAUCUCGCUGGACCGUUCUGGAGAAGGAGAUGUUGGCCGAAAAGCAAUGGCUUCAGGUAGCGCAACAGCGUGUCCCCGACCUGAGCAAUGUUUCGUCGCAGGACUACGAGCGAUACAUCACGAUGUACGAAUCAUUGGAGCAGGACAUUGCGAAUCACCUGAUGAAGAUGCGAUCUCACCACGAGAUGGCACGGGACAUGCACGAACUGAUCUCCGCACCGACCGUCGAGCGGGAAAGCAAUGAAGCGUUGCUGGUGGCUAUGCAACUUCAGGAGGAGGUAUCGUUGUAUCUGAAUCUGCUCACCAAAUUCAAGGCGCAGUGGAAUCGGUACAACGCUCAGGCUGAUCGACUGGUUGACUGGCUCGAUGUGUGUCAAGGAAAGCUGGCGAAUAUCACGAUCAAGGAGAACCUCUCGGAAACGCCGGUGGACGAUAUGCGCACGUUCUGGGAAAUAAAGGCACAGUACGAGGUGUUGAACAACAAGGUGUACAAAACCGCAUGCGAUACGUUCGGCGAGGCACUGCGCACCAUUACCGUGACGGAUGAGAAACUUCAGCGACAGCUACACAGCCAGCUGCUGGAAGAUUGGAGCGCCGUCUCGAACCGUAUCGAUGACAUCCAGCACAGCAUUGCGGACUCGAUGAAAACCAAGGGUACACCGCCUGGCGAUAAGCUUGCGUUUAUCGAGCAAGAGCUGCAAGAGAUUGCGCGAGAGUUCGACAGCAGCAAAGCGGUUCUAAAGAGCCAGGAAGAUCUGUACGCCUACAUCGAACGGAUGCAGACGCUCAAGACGCGCAUCCAGCUGAUCGAUACCGAGCUCGUGGGCCAGUUUGCCCUGGAUCUGGACUGUAACACCGAGAAGGCGAGUGCCGUGUUCAAGAUAUCGCGCCAUCUGUCGCAACAGAUCUCGGAAGAGUUGGAUGCGGCCGAACUGUUCUACCACCGGCUGGAAGAUAUUGAGACCGGCAUCAAAGCGCAAGAGGAACGACUCACACACAUUGCGCGUGUGUUGGAUGAAUGCGGCGGUAGUGUGAAUGGCAAACGUUCCGCUAUCGAGAAAGCGCUGGUGGAUUGUAAAAACUGCCAGGACUCAUUGGGCCCCUGCUGGAGUGAGUUGAUGCGCCUUCGGCAGAUGCUUCACACACUCCCGAUGAACCUGAAGGUGUCGGUAUCGCCACUGCAAACGGAACGAGAUCUUUCCACGCUGCAGAACGUCCACAGCGAUCUGGAGCGACGGUCGGACGAGGUGCAGACAUUGCUAAGGAAUCGGUUGGCAUUGUGGAACAAGUUCCACCAUCAGCUUGACAUGAUUCAGGAGCAUGUACAGGAGACGGAGUUUAUGAUGGAGCUGUUGCAGCUGCAGGAGAGCGCUGACUACAACCGGCUGUUGAAAGCUACGGAACGGUUAGAUACACUUCUCACGGACAUUGAAAGCCGAAAGGGCAUGAUUGAAGAUCUCAACACGUACGCCCAACCGCUGGUCGAAACGUCGGACGAAAGUGUUUCGGCCGAGAUCCAGGAAACAGUGCAACAGAUAAGCAUCGUUUGGGAAAGUACGCGCGAGAACUUGCGCGAACUUUGCGAUCGCUACGAUAAGGCUGUGAAGCUGUGGCAACACUAUCACGAUGUGUGUGAAACGGUGAAGGAUUGGGUAAACCAUGAGUACACGGAUUACGACGACCUGCAACGGCUACAGGAUCUGCCCCAGGUGGAGGUGUACCAGCAGGCACUGCUCGAUCAACGUCAGGAGGUUGAGAAGCUGCGUAAACUGAUCGGAGACAUAAACGAGCAGGUUGGGUUCAAUGUUGGUGACACGCUGCUGGCGGAGAUCGAUGAAUGCAGCAAGAAGCUGGAGGACAUCGAACGGAAUGUUGUGGAGCAACGAAACCGAGUUCAUGAGCGAGAGGAAGCACGGGCAGAUAAGGCCAGUGUGGUGCAAAGCUCACGCGGUUUGUUGGAUCGCAUUCAUGAGAGCCUCCAGCAAUCGGCACACUCGCAGCGUACGGCCGACGAAAAUCUGUACAACAAAGUCGUGGAUCUUCGCUCGUACAUGCUAAGCCUGUGUGUAACGAUAGCGCGCCUGAAGGACAUUCAACGCGACCGCGAACAAGCGGAUGAUAAUGGCAAUCUACAGAACUUCCAUUCCGUAUCGCAGAAUCUGCUGCAGGAUACGUACCAACAGUAUCAGGACCUGGUACAGCAGCUGGUAACGCAAUCGGAAGAUGAUGAACGGUUGCUGGACUUCUGGCAGGAAUAUCUGCAAUUCGUAAUGACCAUCCUGUCCGAGCCGCUGCCUAGCGACUACGGUCAGCUAAAGGCACACCGUGAACAGUGUUUGCUUGUUAAGAUGCUGCUGAUUAGCUUGCGCAAAAUGCUACUCCAGAAGAACAAAAUCGACGUCCGGCUGGUGGAGCGCUUCAACGUGCUAAGUCAACUGCACACCGAUCGUAUCGAUCGAUACCUAGAGCGAAUCACGGAGAUCGACAACCGUCUUUGGCACUGGGAAAAGUUCCGCACGCUCGGCAGAAACCUCUACGAAGCGUUGGCUAAUAUUGAGCGCGAAAAGUUCACACUCCAGCUCGAGUACAUCAAUCUGCGCGAGUUGCCGAAGUUGAUCGAAAAAGUGAAUGGAUUGCUGGAACAGUUUCCCCGGCUGGAGGGUGAUUUGAGUGCCAUGAAUCAAGAGCUAACGCAGCUGACGCUGUAUACGAAGGACGAAUGCACACUGGUCGGAAUGCGCAGCGAGCAGGGCAAGAUUGCGGAGAAGGUCGUUAAGCUGCAGGACAAUGUGGAAACGUGGAAAAACUUCCUCUUCAGCAUUGACGAGCUGCAUGGCCGCUUUGCAAAACAAUCGUACGAGGUGGAGGACCAUUUGCAGGAUUUGGAACAAUAUCUGGACAAGCUGGAGGCGGAAGAGCAGCGCAAUACGACCGAUCCGAACGUGGACAAUCGUGUGAGCGGUGUGCAGGCGAGGCUGAACCUGAUUAAAAAUCAUCACGUUCGAUUGGACAUGGUGCGUGCGAAGCUGGAAGAGAUGGGACAUCUGCACGAAGAGCUUAAGUCCUGCAUCAGCAUGUUUGACGUGCAGCGACUUCAUAAACGCGUGUGGACGUUGUGGCAGAUGUACGGUAAGCUGGAGCAACGUAUCGUACUGCUGGUGAAGCGAACCGAAGCAUUGGCCCACAAGAAGAAGCUGUUCCAGGAACACUACCAGCUGCUGAUGGAUUGGAUGCAAAAGUAUGAGCUGAAGUUGCGGAAUCCUGAGAAAUACGAGUCGUGCACCGACAAUCAAGCGUUCAUCGAGUGUAUGGAGGACACGCUGCGUCAGGAGAUGGCCCUUAAGGAGUGGGAGAGAGAUUGGUUGAUGACGGUGGGCAAGGAUCUUCUGGGCCAUUGCUCAACAUCGGAAGAGUAUGAGGAAAUCGGGAACCAUCUUGAUAUACUGGAAAAGGAAUGGAUUUACCUAACCGGACUGUGCAAGAACCGCACCCAGACAUCCUCGACGGUGCAAAGCAGAAUGCGCACGCUGGAAACGCGUAUCGCUGAGCUAAAGUCGUGGAUGUUGAUGAUCGAGCGCGAACUCAGGAAACCUUUCGUGGUGGAAAGUUUGGAACAGACGACUCUCGACAAUUUGCUCGACGAUUACGAGAAGUUGCAGCGCUCGAUCGAGGGCAACAGUGGCAAUGUGGCGGAAGUGCUGAACCUGUGCGAACUGGUCGCCCUGGACGUGCAAUCGUUCUGCGUCAACAUCAACAUUCGCAGCAUCCAGAGCGACGCAAACGAUCUGGACAUGCGAUGGAAGAAGGUGUGUCGCAUAUCGGGCAGUCGCAAGCGCAAUCUGAUGGAACUGUGGGUCACGCUGGUGAGUCUGCAGAAGGGUCUAGAGUACCGGGAUUGGGUACACGAGCAGCACGAAUACAUUCGCCGCCUGGAGCGUUCGAUCGCUUCCUUCCACGGCGAACAGCUGGCACACGAGAUGGAAAACAUUGAUGUGCGGCUGAAUGAACUUGCGGUGCGAGAGGCACAUCGACUAAGCCUGCGCAAGGAAUACAUAUCGUUGGUACAGAAUGAUCUCGUUUCGGGUGAGGGUAUACGAUUCCUAACGACCCCAGUACAUCAAAUGUUGCUUCUCUGGGAACGACUGCAACCGGAUCUUUAUGCUUUGCGGGAAGAUCUAGAGCGCUGUCGGUCAGAGAUGGGCGUGUUUGUGGUAAAGUACGAACAAAUCAUCCUGGCCCUCACGCAGAUCGACGUACAGCUGACCCAAAUCGAACAUCUGCCGCCGGAACAAACUGUCGAAGGUCCGGAGUCGGCGGAAACUCGCAUCCAACGGUUGCGCGAACUGCACAACGAACUUUUGCUCGUGGUGAAUCUGUUCGAACACGAGGACUCGCUGGGUGCGAAUCUGAUCGAGCAACAUUCCGCCAACCGAACGCUAACGGAGGACAUUCGGCAGAAGAUGGGCGAGUACCAUCAACUCGGUAAUGGUUUGAAGGAACGUCUCGAUGCGCUGUUAGCUCGGGCCACCGAAGCAUUCGAAGUGCGCCAUGAAAAGGAGGUAGCAGUGCAGGUGAACACUUUGCGCCUGGAACGCAGUGAAUCGAUCACCGCAAAGGACGCGUACCGCUAUCAACUCGAAACGGCCCUCGCAGAAGCGGCCACCAAUUUGGGCAAGCUGGAGGAAGCAAUCUCAGCCAUCAAUGCGAACAACUUUGUGUCCACGACGCAGAACGUGUCGAGGGCUUCGGCCGCCUGCGAAUCAUCGAUCGAGCUGAUAAAACAUCUGAACACGCUGCUACUCUCCGAAUGUCAUGCGACGCCGGAGGAAGCGUUUAGUGUGCGUGUGACGGAAGAAACGGAACGGUACCACCGUCUCUUGGCUGAGUGGAAACAGAAGCAAGAACAGCUGGAGGAAUCAAGGAUCAUUCCUAAUGCUUACAAUUUUAACUGCGUACACAAUUCGGACUAUCUGACCUGUCCGUUGUGUACGAACCGUAACUGGCAGCAGAUCGAUAACGAUCUGUGGCGCCUGGAGCAAUGGCUAGCGAUGGCAGAAUCGACGCAACGCAACCAACUCUCUAGCCCACCGUCCGACAUCGAUGCGCUGGAAGAUACGAUACAGGACCAUCGCGAGUUCCUGCUAGAUCUCGACAGUCACAAGAGCAUCAUCAAAUCGCUCAACAUUGUAGGCGAACAUCUGGCGACGCACACCCGAGACACGGCCCGUGCGACCAAGUUACGCGAACGGCUGCAGAAGAACAACCGUCGUUGGGAUACGGUUUGUACCGGUGCUUCCCGCUGGCAGUCGGCCCUGAACAGUGCGCUGAUGGAGAACCGCGAGUUCCAUCGUACGAUUGCCGAACUGAGCGGAUGGUUGGAGCAGACGGAGAACCGGAUCAAAUCGUCGGAACCGAUCGAUCUGACCAGCGAUCAGCGUCUGGUGGAGAAGAAGUACCGCAUGUUCCGGGAGCUGCGUGCCGACCUGAUGCGGUGUGAGCCGCGCGUGGUUAGCCUGCAGGAAACGACCUCCCAGCUAACGAAGUACGUGGACGCGAACAAGUCGGAGAAGUUUGACGAGGUGUACGCAAAAUUAACUGAUCUGCGAUUGCGCUUCCACUCGAUCCGUCGUCUGGUGGAGAUGUACAUCAUAAAGAUUGGUGCAUCGUUGGGAUAUGACAGCAGCACCAGCCUGGCCGAUGUCCCGUGCUCCUCCUCCUCGACCACGUCCCUUGCGACCGUCGACCGACAGCAGGCCAGACGCCGGCAGGCAACAGAUCAGCAGGAGGUAGGUGCAAGCGAGAACGCAUCUCGAUGUGUGAUUCUUUGAGAAUAGAGCAUCUUGCCACCACCACCACCACCACCACCACCCGCACCACCCUAUCCAACCACCAUCGUUACUACCAACUACUACUCUUCACCGCUCAACGAAGCUUUCGUCAUCGGCUGGUCGUCUCUCGUGUCUGAACGUCACCGUUAGUCCGAACGGUUACGGGCUUUUUGUUUUCUGUUGCACACAGUGUGUCAAGCCACCAGCAAAGCGAUGGUAGCGGAUCCCGAAACCAUCCAUCACAAGCGACGGCACACGAUUCCAGUACAAAUGCUGGCACGGGUACUACAGAGGCCGACGACGAUGUCAUCAACACCACGAUACUUACCCGAAGCUAUCGUUUCUUGGGCCGUGUCAUACGUGCCUCGUUGCCGAUCCAGGCGAUGCUGUUAUUGCUGCUCGGUGUCGUCACGCUCAUGCCCCACGGUGAGGAGUACUCGUGCUCGCUGGCCAACAACUUUGCCCGCAGUCUGGAACCGAUGCUGCGCUACCCGAACGGACCACCACCAAUCUAGCGACCGCCGGUGGUCGAUCAGCCCGAACACUCCCUCAUUCCCAUCCAUCCUAACUCCCUUCCUUCGAUACUCGCAACGAAAUGAGACAGCCUUGGAUAACUCUACUCGCAAAACGGAGCGGCGAGGCAAUAUUGUAAAACUACUUACAGUUACGCUUUACACUAGUGGUACAUAUAAUCUGUACAGCUUUUUAUUAGAUUAGGGGUAUCGAUCGUAGUACGCUCGUUGGGCCCCCACCGAUGCCUGCGAUUUGUUUAGCUUCGAUUGCACAUACAAUAUUAGGCUAGGACACGUACUCCAAUUUGCGAAAUCAACGAAAGAACAACGACAAACGAAUGGGUGCGAGCACGGGUUCUGUUGCUUCGCAAGCUAAGAAAACAUUCUUCAUUUUCCCAUUUAAGUUAUGGCACUCAGUUCGAUAAACUCGGAAGGGGAAAAGCUAACCUUAAUCUACUAACACCCGCCCCCCUGUAUAAGGUGUAUAUGGAAGCAUUUUUAUUUUUUCAGGAUGAGUUUCAAUGGCGAUUCCUUGUUUCUCUGGUUUUGUUAUGUUAUUUUCGUGUUUUAGGUAAGCAACUUUAGAGAUGUAAUAAAAGUAUUCUAAAGUAUGAGACAUAUAGUGGAAAGUA